rnacentral:lncRNA from 1 species
GCAGAAUUCUUAAAGAGAGGGCAGAAAACAAUGGCAAAAAUUCGUGAUACGAGAGGAGCGAGAGGGAGGGGAGAGGAGCGAAAUCAAAGGCAGAUUUCGUAGAGAGAGAGAGAGAGAGAGAGAGAGAGAUAGAGAGAGGAGGGAGGGGGGAGGCGUAAUCAAUANNNNNNNNNNNNNNNNNNNNNNNNNNNNNNNNNNNNNNNNNNNNNNNNNNNNNNNNNNNNNNNNNNNNNNNNNNNNNNNNNNNNNNNNNNNNNNNNNNNNNNNNNNNNNNNNNNNNNNNNNNNNNNNNNNNNNNNNNNNNNNNNNNNNNNNNNNNNNNNNNNNNNNNNNNNNNNNNNNNNNNGUAGUAGUAGUAGAGAGAGAGAGAGAGAGAGAGAGAGAGAGAUAGAGAGAGAGAGGGGGGGAGGCGUAAUCAAUAGAAAUGCUAGAGGGAGAAACGACACCAAGGCCAAAAGAUUACAAGUUCCCCAGGGAGCCCAUUAUACAUUUACUCCCUUGGAUAAAAGUCUUAAGGUAUACCUCUAAAAUUGGGUUCAAACUUAUAACUACGUGUGGUUUGAAUAAGGUUACAAGGUUAAACAAUCAAAAUAAGGUGUACCUCUAAAUUUUUUUGUGAGAUGUAAUUUUGGUUCCGAUAAUUCUUAAGAUAGUGCGAGAAUUUAUUUUUAUCUCUAAUUUUAAAAUUUGAAACUUCAAAUAUGAUUCAAAUCAAGUAUCAUGAAAAUGGGCGGUCCAGAUAAUGUAACCCUAUAUUAAACUUUUUCCUCAAAAUAUUAGCAGGAUGUAAGGUGUGGUUUGUACAGAGCCGAGGCUCUAAACAAUAAAAUUAGAGCCCACAUUCAAAUAGUGUAUGAGAAAUGUAGUGCUAAUAUCGAAAAUGUUUUACUAACCUUAAAAUAUAUUUUUAUCUUUAAUUAUAAAAUUUAAAGCUUCAAAAAUAGUGUAGAUCGAACAGAUCUAUGAAAACUUAAAUAACUUAAAAAUUGACGGUGCACAAAUACCUUACAAUAUGCAUUAUUUCCAAAACUUGAAAUCUAUUUGUUUCUCAAGUCCAUGUAUCUUGAUGUUUAGAUGAUGAAUUUGAGGAUUUGGGCAUCAAAACAACCUCUUUUAGUGAAAUUUUUGAGGUGGGCUCUAAUUUGAUUGUAUAGAGCCUAAGCUCUAUAUAAACUUUUCCCUAUAAGUAAUUGACAACACAGAACCAAUAGGUACCCCACCAGGUUUAAUUUGGAUUCGACCUAAUACAUCUAUAAAUCAUAUUAAAAAAUGAUUUGUAUCAUAAAACUUUUAUUUUAAAAAUAUUAUAAAGUUCCUAAACCUUACUUAAAAAGUUUAAAUUUUUUAAAAUUUGUCUCAUACUUUCUAUUUUUUUUUUAGUAAUUCAACGGAAAAGACAAACCCUACCCGUUUUUUUUUCAAAUAGAUUAGGAAAUAUAAUUUUGAAGGUGUUAUUGAUAGGAUCGAAAACCGUAAUGUGUGAGGGGAUGUUACCACUUUAGCUCAUUUAUUUAAGUGUAAGUCAGUAGGGAUUUGUGUCCGUACUCUCUGAUGAGAAUGGAGUGAAAGACCUCACCAUGAAGCUUAGGCUUACAAUACUGAUGCUAAGGCCCCAAGCCAGUCAAGCUGGUCAAGCCAAGUUGCAUACUCAGCCCUUUCGACUCAGCAUUUAUGGAGCAACCCACUUGUCCAAACUUUUCAACCUUGGUUGUAGUGUUUUAGAACAUGGAUUAGUAGGGUAGAUCGUUCACCUAUAAAUCUGUCGGAGGUUGUUGGAUCCCAAAUCAUUUCAAAUUGGUCAUCUAAAAAAUAUUUAAAAAUAAAUUAACUAAAGGAAAAUUGUUUCAUGUAGAGUAGAAAGUGUAAAGCAUCCAUCUUAAAGAUGGGUUCAAGAAGGUGUUCCAUCUAAAAACAAUGGUCCAAAAAUUUUUUUAUCAAAAUUAUUAUUUUUAGUUUUCAAAAUUUAUUUAUUUUUUCAUAUCUUUAAAGUUUAAGCCUUCAAAUCUAUCUCCAAAAUAAAUUAAUUAAUAAGCCCGCGUAGAAACUGAGUUCUAAACUUAAAAACUCAAUAGGAAAUUUUUUUAAAAAAAAUUAAAAAUAUUGAAUAGUUUUUUUAAAAAAAAUGAAAACUGAGGGAUCCAUGACUGAUUCGGUCCCGACCAAUUUUCAAGGUGGCAACUUGGCUGGGGAAUCAAAUCGCCGGCGUUUAAAACAAUAUCAAACCGGCAUUAGAGAUAAUGACAGGGGCACCUAGAGGAACCCCACCCUAUUUAUACCCCUACAGAGAUUUCCAAUUAGGGUUUUUGGCUGCUAAUCAUCUGGUGAAUGGCUCUGUCCUCCACGGUCUCGGCCUUUCUCCACUUCAUCUAUUCAGGGUUUACGAUUAUACAUAUUUAUAAUUUUUUAUUUAUUUGCAGAGAUUUGAAGUUCUUAGAUUCAUACAUUUUGUCUAUUUGGGGUUUUAGAGUUCAUGGAAAUAGGGUUUUUUUUUUUUAUUGCAUUUUUCGCUUAAAUUAUUUAUUGACUAUGUUUUAUACAAAUAUUGCGAUGAUGAAAUAGUGUAAUUCGAAUGGCGUUCUCUGAAAGAGGAUGCUUUGGUGUGAAGCUCAAUCCUGAGCGGUUACCUGAGCGAUAUUUGCCUUUUUCAAAUUUAUUUCUCAUUUAUCUAUUGAAUUAUUACUUUGUUCUUUGACAAGAAAAACUAACCUCGUUUUAUUUUUCUGAUUUUGCUUUCUUUUUUUUAUUAUCAUGGUUUAUGUUGCAAUUUUUUAUAAUUUAUAAAUAUCUAUUUCUGGUGUUUAAUGUAAAGAUGUAUAAAGUAAUGAUUCAGGAAAUGUAGAAGAAAAAAGGAAAAAUUUUAGUGGAGUUGAGCGAAUUUAUUCGUGCAGUUCUGAAUAGAUAUGAUGAACACUUGAUUUGUGAUUACCUGGGGGAGUUAUCUAAUGAGUGUGGUUUGUAUAGGCUGGGGCCCUAAUCAAUCAAAGUAAGGCCCUUCACAUAUGGGCAUCAAAAAAUGGAUUGAAAUUUAUUUUCAAUCUCUAAUUAUGAAAUUUCUAGUUCCACCUUAAAAAAUAGUGUAUAUCAAGCAUAUAUAAGAACACUUAAAAAUAUUGAAAAGAUAAUGCAUUACAAGAUAGGCUAUUUUGAUGUGAAGUCCAUUUUUUUUUAAUGUCCAUGUAUCUCAUGGUCAGCAUUGAAACACCUUCUGUUGAAGGUUUUUCAGCAUUGAAACACCUUCUUCUACUGAUAUUUUGAAGUACACCUCAAUUUGAUUGGUUAGGGCGUCAGCCUUAUACUUUUUCCUUUAUUCUAAAUGCAAACAUGAUACAUGAACCAUUUAACAUUCUACAUGACUGCUGAUUUUUACGAAGAUAUAUGAUCACGAGUUUCGAUAAAUGAUUAUGAGUUCGAACAAUUGUAAAGGGGUAAAACAUUAAAUAUUUAAUCCCUUAUAAAAUUUUGAUAAGUUUUCUUUAUUAAAAUUUAGUUUUUAAAUAUGAUAAAUAUAAGAGAUUACCGCAUGCAUGCCUUUUAAAUAUGGAGAUGAAAAAAAUGUACGUGUCAAAAUUUUGGAGAUUAUGUUUUCAUGAAAUUAGUAAUCUUGAAAACAAUUGUUAAAAAAGUAGUUUGUGCUCAGGGGAUGCAUUUAUGCACAAGAUGCAUGUCAAAAAAUGGUAGCUCCACAAAAAUUUAAAUCGACUGUGUUAAAACUAUAUCAAAGAAUGUUUAUUUGUAUUUUUAAAAUUCAUUUAUUUUUGCAAGUUUAUAUUGUGGUUGAGAUUUUCAUUCCCUGAAAUGUUAAAUCCAAAAUCCAUUUAAUAGAUUUUGGAGAGAGGACUCAUGUAAAUAGGUAAGACCGACUCAUAUAAAUCUCAUCUCAUAGAUAAAGUACUUAUUCAAAAAAGGGUGCGGUUUGCAUAGAGCUGACGUCUAAUCAAUCAAAGUAGAGCCCAUCUUUAAAUGGUGUCGAGAAUUGUGGUUUUAACACUGAAAAUAUUUGUGAUAUCUUUAAAAUAUAUUUUUAUCUUUAAUUAUAAAAUUUAAAGCUUGAAAAACAGCCUAAAUUAGGUAUAUCUAAGAAAGCUUGAAAAUCUAAAAAAUUGACUGUGUAAAAAUGCAUUUUACGAUCAACAUUUUCAAAACUUGAAAUUUGUUUUUUUCUCAUUUCCAUGCAGCUCGAUGUCGAGAUGAUCGAUUUGAAGAUAUUUGGACAUCAAAAUAAUAUCUUCUAGUGAAUUUUUUGAGGUAGGUUCUAAUUUGAUUAUUUAGAGCCGGGGCUCUUUAUAAAUUUUUCCUUUCAAAAAAAUGGUGCGGUUUCUAUAGAGCCUAGGCUCUAAAGAAUCAAAUUAGAACCUACAUUCAAAUAGUAUCGAGAAAUGUAAUUUCAAUAUUGGAAAUCUUUGUGAUUUCCUUAAAAUAUAUUUUUAUAUUUAUUUAUAAAGUUUAAAGCUUAAAAAAUAGUGUAGGACGACAUAUCUAUGAAAUCUUGAAAACUGACGGUUCAAAAAUGCGUCAUAAAAUACACUUUUCAAAACUUGAAAUCCGUUUUUUUCUCAUGCCCAUGCUUCUAAAUGUCGAGUCUGAUCAAUUUGAAGAUAUUGGGGCAUCAAAACAACUUCUUUUAGUGAAAUUUUUAAAGUAGGUUCAAAUUUGAUUGUUUAGAGGCACCUUGAAAACCAAUUUAGAUCGAAGAAUGGGCAAUUUGGAUCAUCAUUUUGCUGUGGAAAAAACAGUGAACCAGCUAAAAAAUCAUUUGAAAAACUAAUUAACAGGCAAAAAACGUGUUCAGAUUGAUCAAUUGGCAGUUCGGAUCGUCGUUUUGGUAUAGAAAAUCGCUGUUUUAACAUUUGGUUCUUUUUUAGAUUUGACUAUUUUUUAUAUAUAUACAAAAUUGAAACAAAAUGAUUGAUUUCCAAAUCGGACCGAGUGAGUCUCUAUUGCCAACCCAACGUUUUUUAAAUCAUUGAAAGAAACUAAAUUUCUUUCUGGGUGUACAAGUCAAGUAGCAGUAUUUGAUGCGCGGACAUGCCCAUGAGCCAACAACCAAAACACUCGUGCAAUUUUAUCAAAUUUCCAUCCACCCAAUAAAAAUAUUUUGCACCGAAAGAAGCUGAUUUCUAUAGCAUAAGAUCCAUAUUUGAUAACAAGAAGCUGAUUAUAUGCCAUAAGAUCCAUGUUAGAUAAAUUUCACAUCACAUUGUAUAGAUUAGGAAUAUCACUCUAUAAGCCUAAUGGCCUAUAUAGCACAGAAUGAGUUGCGGCCGGAUUGAAGGAGAAAAGGCGAUCUGGAUGGCUUAAAACGGCCAUCAUAUUUUACCUCAUUCAGGAUGGCCCAACCCCUAUCCCUUCCAGAAGAAAAAUACUUUACUGAUGCACAAAUCUAGUCUUUAUUACUUUUUCCUUCAAUCUAGAUUGUGUAGCCUAUACUGUAGUAUGUGCUCAUCCAUAAAACAAUAAACACGAGCCAAUAUCAGACACAAGCAAAUGUUAAAAGAGAGGCCAUGGCUGGUGGUACAAAGAAUUGAUAUUGAAAUGCAUUUCAAUAUCAAAUAAUGCAAACACUUAAAAUAAUUUAUCAGCAAUUAACUCACAAAAAAAAAAAAAGAAUAAUUCAACAAAAAAAAAAAAAAAGGUACCGGUAAAUGGUAUUUGACAGUUGUAGGCAUAUUAUUCCAAGGUCACAAAUUACAUCAAAGAGCAAAUAGAAUUGAACAAAACAAAUCAUGUUGCCUUCAAAUCUCGAUCUUAAACGUAAGGAUUUAACUAUUACACAACCCUGAAACCCAUGGAAAUCCAUGGUCUUGCUGGACCAGGAGAAAGAGCACGCCUUUAAAGAAUUUCAUGGACCAGUCUCCCCUUGCCCAGCCUCGAAACGCACAACAAUACAAGUGAUAUUAUCUCCACUGCCUCUGCGAUAAGCUUCUUGAGUUAGCCUUUUGGAUGCCUCUUCUGGAUCCUCUAUGGACUUUAUCAUGGAAACAGCCUCCUGAAUAUGAAAAGACUUAAGAAUAUAUCAUCUAUAUCUAAAUUUAGUCAUCAAUGAAAAUUUUGAAAAUAUGCAAUCUCUAUCCAUGUGACUAAGCACCAACAAAUUGCUACUUCUCUAUGCUCUUGGCCAGUGUUUUAAAACCUAGAUCGGGAGGCUGGAUUGGUCAUAAUUGCGCCAAUCUGGAUCCCUGACCCGAAUUGAAUCAUAUUGAUUCUCCAAAGUGGGCAUUGGUCCAAAUAUAAACAAUAUCUGAAAACAAAAUAAGUAAGAAAAUAAAAUAAAAUGAAUGGGAAUCUGACAUUCAGCACAUCCGGAUUGCCUGGUUCCCAGAUAGACUCACCCGGUUCUUCUCCAAUAGAACCGCAUUAAUUUGUCAAAAUUAGACCGAUUCCCGGUUCUAGUUAGGAACCAGGUCGGUCCCCAUUGAGACCCAAUCCGGAGCACCGCAAUUUCAAUCACCACCAUUGGUAAAGAUCUUAGAGCAAAUUCAGGUAACCUUUACAGCAAAAUGUGUUCAAAGCAACAUGUGUUUAAGAAGUCUUACAAUUAAUUCAAAAGCAAGCUUGCUAGUCCAUUCAAAUCUUCAAAGUAGGAAAUGGUCUGUGUGUCCUUGUCUAUAGUUGACCAACAUACAACGAGUACAUGCAUUAUGCAUUAUCAAAUAAGAUUCUUCUUAGGUAGUAUUGUAUUGCUUAAUACGUAUAAGUGCCAAGUUUCCUUUGUGCAUGGUCUCUAAUCUUCUAUGGAAUCAGCAUCCUAGUCUUCAAAACUGAUAUAUAUAAUAGGUAAGAUAGCUUCUAGGGUAAUUUAUCAAAAUACACACAUGAGAUGAUUAAUUUAGCAUUUUACCCACAUCAUUUUAUUUAAUUUUAGAAUAACCCAUAAAAAUAUCAUGGUCUUGAGUUGGAAGAAUUACAAAUGGAUAAAAUUUUGAAAUGUUCAUCUUAGAGAUAUUUUGAUCAAUUUCCCAAGAUUCUAUAAGCUAACGCGUAUAUAGUUCCUGCAUAAGCCGAGCUCCAAAAUACAUAUUUAUUGGGCCGAAAUUUUACACAUCUUUGAUUUGAAACAUAAAAAAUUUUUUUUAAAAAAAAAAUUUGAAUUCUUAAAGCCCAGAUCCAUCUUCAACCAUAGGGAUGACCUACGUUCAUUGAAAAUGGUGGACUCCUCCCACUUUUUGCAUGAAUUCACUUUUUUAUUUAUCACCUAGACCAGAUCAUGGACCCCUAUUUCUCUGAGGGGCUUACGCUAAAGUAUAACCACGUGGGUUUAUGUAAUUAUUGCCUACAAUAGGCCUUAGAAAUUGACAGCGACUAUUCUCAUAGAAGAACAAGCAAUUGAAUAUCAGAACGGAAAGAAGUCCCAAGGCUGGAAAAAAACCUCGUUGGUAACGACAUCCCACAGACCAUCACUAGCAAGAAUGAGAAACUCGAGAGAAUUGUCAAUCACCUCCUCCUAAAAUUCACAAACCAACAUCCGUCAAGUCAAACUGUCCAACUUUAAUGUAUUUAUAAUCAAGGAAUCCAUCAAAUGCAUCAACAACUUUGUGGAAUAACAAUUUUCCAAAAAAUGAGAAAAAAUACAUGCCAUUUUAGUAACCCAUGAUGCAGGACUUUCUCUACCAUGACAGAUUAACUUAUGAAAAACAAGUCAUUUAUCAUUAGAUAGUUCUCUGACCUUGAUUUCAGGGUCAGCCACAACAUAUUGCUUCAAGAGUUUAUCACCAAAUGCACGAGAGACAGCUAGAACACCCCCAACUCGCCAAGUGCCUGUAAUUGGCAUACUAAUCAGUCCUCGACCAAAUUACCAUGAGAAAAGGUAUGUUUAUAAAAGGGAAAAUAUACUAAAUGACUUGGGAAAUAGUGUGAUCAUGGGGACCAUAUUCAUCACAUCGGUGUUUUGAAUAGUAAUGGUUGUGGUUCCCACCAAAUAUGUCACUAACUUAAAUGUUGGAUGAUGGUAACCUUACGAGCAUAAUGUUUCCAUGGCAUGUGUCAUGGUAAAUAAGACCUUUGGUGAACAAAUUUUCCCAGAUCUUGGGGUUAGACUUGAUGACUUGAGUAUAAAGGGCACAAAUUAGUUCAAGUUUUGAAUCCCAGCUAUUGUCGCCUCCCACCCAUCCCACUAAGAGGAAAAAACUCACUCUUUCAUAUCCGAAGUCGAAAAACAAAUAGCAAUCAAAUUGUCAUCUUACCAGCCCACAUCACAAACCCUCCAGCAUUCUCAAUUCUUUGCCUUUCGUCACUUUGAUCUGGUUUAUGAUCACGUGAGACAGCUACAGCUGCAUAAUCAACAAUACGUUGGUUUCGUCAUAUGAGCAUGUUUCAGAGGAAAAUCAUACAGCUACACACAAACACAUACGCAAACUAUCUAUCUAUCUUUUCCAUCAAUCUAUCAGUCUAUAUAGUAAUGUAAUUUGAAGGCAAGUCACUAUUUGUAAACGAUGAAUUCGUAACAUAAAGAAGAGAUAAUUUGUAAUAAAAAAAAGGUUAAACUUUGUUGCUUACCAUUUCCAUCCCUACAAAUAACAGCCCGUGAAUCCCCGACAUUCGCAACUACCAAACGAUCACCAACAAGAACAGCAGUGGAUGCUGUUGAUCCAGCAUCUCUCUGAUAGUUAUCAUCUAUCUUUAGGAAUUCUGAGUCUGUAUGAUUAUAGGCAUCGGCUGCAAAAGUAGGAGACCAAAAAAAUAUUAAGUUUUAAAUGAAACAAAAAGAUCUACAAGUAAAAAGGAGGCCCAUAAGAUCACCCAACAACAAUUAUAGAAUAAAUUUGGGGGUCAAAAGAGAGGACCAAACCUAUGGCUGAUUUGGUAUCAGAAAAGAACUUCGGAUGAGUUAUCAAAUUGCUAAAAAGGUUUUGUUUCACAUACUCCGCAGCCUGUGCACCACCAUGACCUGAACACAAAUUUCACCAUAAAUUCCAAAUGUUGAGAAAAAAAAUCCAACAUGAGAUACAACUAUAAAAGAAAUUUCUAUCCACAAAUAUUGCACUAUAACAAUUGCAAAUUAUACACAAAAUGUGCCCAAGGUUUGUUUCCGACUACUCAUCAACCUGCUAAGAAAUUCUAACAAGAUUAGAUCGCUUACUAAUUUUAACACUUACCAUCAAAUACGCCAAAAAGACCAACAAUUUGUCCAUCAACACCACACACUCUGGUCUCAUAAAAAUCUUCCAUGGAAGACCUUUUCCCUGGCGAACUUGCAUAUCCAUAGCUAAAUUUGAGAUUUUGACUGUGGCAAUAAAAUAAGUAACUAAUUAGUAUCAUUUCCUCCUGGACAAUGAUCUUUCGCAUUUAGUAGGUGAAGCUUGGAAAGAAUCAGGGUCACCUCCUAAUUCUUAAACUUAACAUGAUGUGGUAUUCGAAAGCCUCUUCUAAGAUGGUACAUAGAAACAAGCAAUAGAUGGAAAAAGUGAAGAAUAUUCAUCAACUCAAGAACGACCAAAUUAUGCUAUUGCUACUCAUGCUCAACUACCCAACAUAGAUGCCAUUUUGGUGGCAAAGAAGCUAUACAAAGAUCAAGACAUGGGUGUUCUCUCAGGAGAUGAAAACACUAAUUCAUGUAAGGGUGGUGCUUCCUUCUUUUUUUCUGUCUUGAAAAGAAAGGCUUUGAUUCAGAAGUGGCUUCUUGGAUUCAAAACUACCCACCUUUCUCAAUUUCAAUAGGAUCCAUCAAUCCAAUAAUUCAAUAUGAAUUUACAUGAGGUGACACGCACUGUGGUUCCACAUUUAAAAAAUAAAAUAAAAAAAUUCAAUUAUGAAUAGCACAAUAAUGGCCCCAGCUUAUUGUUAAAUGCUUCUACAUAGUUUGUUGGAUCAAAAUGCAAUUUAUACAAUGGCGCUUAUUCAUAUGAUGUUAAGAGGUCAUAGCUCAAACCUGUGCCUUCAAUGUGAAAAUGGAUUAAAAAACAACAAUAAGAUGAGCAGAAAGUUUUAGAUUUACCUUCUACCUCCUCCACUAACUCGGGCUUGUUCGAAUUGUGUGCUUGUUGAAGAGAAGCCAGAAUUAACAAACCCCAUGAUUCCUAUAAGCUUGUGACACUUUUUUAAAUUACUCUGAUCAUUCAGAAUUGAGUUUCUCACUCCCCUUACAAACUUCGAUCAUGUCUAAGAAACUUGAUACAACCAUCAAAUGAGGACCAUGUACUUUGCAGUUUCUAAAAGUAACCUGCCCAAUAAAAAAGCUUAAUACAUAAGCAAAAACAUAAAUGAGAUGAUUGAGGUAACAAAUAACAAAGGAACCAGUUUAAUUGAAAAUAAAGUUGCAUCUGGAGCAAAAGCUUAUUAAUAUUAACGGAAAUAAGACGGCCAGAUUAACAAAUAACAGAGUAAGCAAUUUAAAUUUUGAGAGAAUAGGAUUACAUUUGGGACUAAGAGCCUCUAUAUCAAAUUAGAGAAAAAGCCAUAAUUUUUUAAAAUGAAAAUCGGGAGAGAAAAACUAGGCUCUGGUGAGAAUUGAAAUUUUGAUAUCAUAUUUUGUGUGGUGUAAUAGAUGCUUUUGUAGUAAACAGUUCUGAACAAAGCUCUAAAUUUAACAUAUUAGCAUCAAAGUUUUCUCAGUUUUGUGUUUCCAGCAUGCCAAGGAUGAGAACCCAAGCAGAGGAAAACAAUCAAUCGAGAGAGAGCUCAAAUCUUCCACUACAGAGCAAUCAAACUGAACAAAUGAUUAAUCUGGACAGCUAUGACACCACAAAUUUCACCACAAGUAAUCAAAAUCAAAACAGAUCCCAUGAAAACCAAAAAGAAAACAUCAGGAAUCUCGAUAACUUACAAUCACAUUCCAUAAGGAGCAAAACCCAAAUCCAAAAUCCAUUUUUUUCAUAAAUAACAAUCAGCAAUUACUAACCCAUGAAAUAGCAUAACCGAGCCAAUCAAUUAACACACCAAACCAUGACAAAUUCAACAAUUAAACCACAAAAUAAAAACAGAGGAAAAAAAAACAGAAAACCUCAACAGCUGAUUAAUUAAUAUGGUUAAUUACGUCCAAUUCAAAGAGCAUAAUCACAUGAUCGAAAAAAGAGGACAGAGAAAACUCAAACCUUAAACGUCGGAAGAACAAUGUGCGGAAGUGGUUGAGAAUGCCCCAAAUGUAGAGAGAGAAUUGCCCCAAACUUUAGAGAGAGAAAGAGAACACCCCAGAUAUAGAGAUAAGGCCACAAAUGGAGAGAGAGAGAGAGGUAAACAGAGAGAGGUCACUGGUUAGAAAGGUCACCAAAUAAGAAAAGAGAAUAUAGAGAGAAACCCCAGGUGUAGAGAGAGAAAGCCACAAUUGGAGAGAGAGAGAGAGAAGGCCGCGAAAUGAGAGAGAGAGAGAUGCGACUGGGUAGAAGGGUCACGAAAAAAGAGAGAGAGUAGAGAGAGAAAAUGAGAGGUGCAGAACUGCAAAUAACCAACAAUGAAAACCUCGGUAACAAACCAAAGCACAGAUACCACCAAUACCAUAAAAACAGGCGGGACACCUCCGUACCCGAGGUGCGUGACGUGUCGGCUUCUCUUUGCCCCUUUUACUUGGUCAACAGACAACACCACACAAUGAUAAAGAUCAAAAUAAAUAAAUAAAUAAUUUCUUUCUUUUUCUUCUCCUCAUUUUUUAAAAGACAAACAACGUUCUAAUGUAGAACUACGCAUGCCCCUGAAAAAUCCAUCGGAAAAACAAAGCAGUUUUAAUGUAGAAAAACAAAGCAGUUUUUGAUCGUUUCGAUAUCGAGAUGUAUGACCAUGAAAAAUAAAAAAAUUUUAAAUCUCAUAAAUAAUAUAUUUUACAGCGUAUUAUCUAUAUGGUCCACUUUCAAGAUUUUCAUUUAUUUAUAGAUCUACUUGAUUUUAAUUAUUUUUUAAAUUUAAAAUUUUAUAAUUAGAUAUAAAAAUAAAAUUUAAGAUAAUCUUAAAAACAUUUUACAUCAAAAUUAUAUACCAUGAUAAAAUUUGAAGGUGCACCUUACUUCUAUAGCUAAUGCCAACUGCACUUAUUUUUAAAUUCAGUACUUAAGUUUUGGAAUUUGGUAUUAAAACAUUCUUAGGGGAAAUUUAGAUGAGUCGUUGACAUUUUAUUUUAUUUUUUAGGUUUUUGAGAAAUUUUGGUAAAUAUUGGAUUUAUUUUUGGGAAAUUUUUAUUCUUGAUUUUAGAGAAAAUUGGGCUUCAUUUUACCUGUGAGGUUUAUUUGUUUUCUUUUAGGGAAUUUUAUUUCGAGAAUUUUAAAAAAGAAAUAGAAAUUUGCUUUGGUUUUAUGGUGUCAUUUAUGAUUAUUAGGAGAUUGUGUGUAAAGAGACCAUUUAUCUUUUGUACAUGGAGGUCACAAUUAAUAUUGUAUUUUAAAUUUCAUAACAGGUAGUUGUAUCGGUGUCGUUGAAUAAAUAAAAAAUUCCAAACAAAAUAUUUACAGAUUUUGUGGCUCACUCCGAAUCAUCACAUCUAAUAAGUAAAAAUGAUUAAUGACUUCCAUGUACAAAAGAUAAAUGGCCCUUUUAUAAACAGCCUCGAUUAUUGGAGGUGUUUGAAUGAGGAAAAACUUUAUCUACCUUGAAGUAUAGAAAUUAGGUGUGACUCAAAUAUCCACCCUAAAAGUUUGUUUUGAUGUCGAAAAACCCUAAAAGUGAUCAUUUCGACUUCGAGAUGUAUGAAUAUAUAUAUUAAAAAAAAAAGAUUUUAAAGUCUAAAAUAAGUGUAUUUUAUAGCACAUUAUCUGGAUCGUCCAUUUUCAACUUUUUCAUCUGUUCCUAGAUUUUUUUCAAUCGAUAUUAUUUUUUAAGUUUUAAAUUUCACAAAUUGGUUUACGAAUAGGUUUUUAGGCCAUCAUAAGUGUUUUCAAAAUUGAAACUGCAUCUUUUAGCAUGAGCUAGAGGUGUGCCUUACUUUGAUUGAUUGUUCAAGGUUGACACCUUAUACAACUACACCUAAACUGUCGAGCACUUACAUUUUUGUUAUUUAAAUUUUUAUUUUGGGAAAAUAACCUCUUUGUUGGGGUUAGGGGAAUUAUUUUAGGGGAAAUAUCCAUGUACCUCUUAUUUUUGGCUUUCAUAUCUUAAUAGAUUGAAAGAUUUAAAAUAUACCUCCUAACUAAUUUUAUUCAUUUUUAACUAUUUUUUUAGCCUUAACAAGUAUAAAAAAAACACUCUCGUUAUAAAGCUCUCAUGAUUUAUUGCUCCCUAAAUUUAUCUCUUUCUCUCUCCUUGUCAUUAGCGGGGAAUAGAAGUGGAAAUUGUGAGGCUCCUCCAAGCUGGGACACAUGAGGCGAGAAAUGAAGGCCUCAAGGCUGCUCUGGUGAAAUCAUUUGCUCCAUUUGAAAUAAACGUUCUAAUCAAACCAAUAAUUCCAUGAAGCUCUGACUCUGUACUAAAAAACCAGAUUGAAUCCAAUGGAAUACAUACAGCAUCGUUCAGCCUUGCCAUAUCAGCCAAAGGGAUCAAACGCUCUGCAGAUUCCCAGUUAUGGAAGCUUACUGCAGUUUGAAACUUCCUUCCAAGCUCUAUACUUUCAUUUUAUUUUGUCCUUAAGGCAUUAGAGCUCUUAUUCACGGCAUGCAUCUCUGAAUUUUCACCACAAACCCUCUUAAAUUUAUCUGAUUGCCUUUUAUUGCUACCCAUCUUAGAGUUCACUCUCAAACCCCCCUAAUUUUGUUGAAGCACUUAGCCUCGUUACCCAUCUCAGAUUCCCCUCUAAUUUUGUCAGAACUAUUAUGGCUAUACCCACAUCAUAAUUCUCACCACAAACCCCUCCAAAUGGGUCAGAAUUCUUAUUAAUGGAAUCAUCUCAUAAUUUUCUUCACAAACAUCACUAAAUUUAUCAUAAGUGCUUACACCGCUGCUACAUUCCCCUUUGGCAACUUUGCCAACGUGACCCAAACCAGAGUUUUGUCACCACUGAAAUCAUGACACAGUAAAUUGACUCCACCCAUAUCUUCUAGGUGCACAAACGCAACUUUCAUAGGUUCACUCUUCAAUUUGUCAGUAAAAUCUAGGUGUGGUGUUUAGAAAUGAUGUUUUUUUUAUGUUUAUUUGGGGCAAAAAAAAACAAAGGUUUAAAAGAAGUAAAGUCAGCUCAGAGGUUAGGAGAUACAAAAUUUAGAAUUUCUAUGACCCAAUGUAUAUUUUGAAAUAUUGAGUUUAUCAAUAUAUAAAACUUAAAAGUAGGAAGUAUGGAGAUAUUUUUCCAAUUACUUUACCUCAAUUUUAAUUUUUAUAAGGGUGUGGUUUAUAUGACGUGACAAUUGCAUUUGAAGUAAAUUCCUUAUGUUAGACACAAUCUAUUUUAAUUUUUAUGAGGGUGUGGUUUAUAUGAUGUGACAAUUGCAUUUGAAGUAAAUUCCUUAUGUUAGACGCAAUCUAUUUUAGUGUGACGGUGUAAAUUUAGCGUAACUCUAUGAUAUAUGGAAAAAUAAAGAUGGCAACAAACUUACUUGUAAUAUCUAGCGCCUCAUAAAAACUUUUUCCUUUUUAAAAUUUGAUUAUCACUUUUUGGUACUAACUUAUUUUUAUAUUUGAUGCCAUUUCAUAUCCAAAGAUACUCCGGUUGAGUUGAAUAUAAAUUAUGAGAAAAUUCCAUUAUUCCAUUUUCUGCAUGUUUAUUGAAAUGAAUAAAUCAAUAUUAGUUUUAAUUUGCAAUGAUUUAAAAAAAAAUAAAAAAUAGAAAAUACAAUACUACCAUGAGAAAUUUGUCAAAAAUGCAUAAUAUUCAAUAUUUUACACAUUUUUAUUGAAGUUUUAAAAAUUCCACCAUAAUAUCUUAGCUAGAAUAGUUGAAAUAAGUGAAAUGUUAAAUUUCGGUAAAUUAAGCAUAUUAUGAUAAAUUUCAUGCAAAAUUGAAACAUAAAACCUUGACAACCUAAAAACAAUAAAUAAAAGAUGAGGUUUACAUAAGGUGUCAAACUUUAUACGUACCUUAAGAUUAAGAUUAUGUUGAAAGAUGAGUUUCAAUGACGAAAAGCCUUGCAAUGGCAUGGCCCUAAAUAUGAAAUUGAAAGCUAUGCAUUUUGCACAUAUGUACAAACAAUUUAAAAUUUAAAAAAUAGAUUAUCUAGAUAAUGCACUAUUGGAUGUAUUAUUUUUAUGACAAAGUAUUUUUUUUAUUCUUUUCCAUACACAUACAUCUCGAGACUUAGAUGAUUAAUUUGAGAUUUUUUUUUUUUCAGCAUUGGAACAACCAAUUUCGAUAUAAUUUUAAUACAUAAUACCUUAUAUAAUUAUUUUUAUAAAAUAAUAUAUUAUUUUUUAUUUUUUAUUUAUAGGGAAUAAGUAAGGAACAAUUGUUUCAUGCGGGCUGGACAACAUUUGUACAAUAUACGGUCCAGAGGUAUAAAGCAUCCAUUUCAAAGAGGACGUGGUUUCCAUGUGGUCAGCCCCACAUAUGUAGAAAUGAAGGCUUCUUAAUAAAUCUAUUUUUUAGAUGAAUUUUAAGACUUAAUUUUUAAGGGCAUGUAAUCUCUAACAUGGAGAUCAUGAAUAUGAAAAAGUAAAUAAAUUUUAAAAACCAAAAAUAAUAUAACUCUAGUAAGAAAACAUUUGGACCGUUUGUUUCCAUUGUUUUUAGAUGGAACACCUACUUACAUCCAUCUUUAAAAUGGAUACUUUACACUAUCUGGACCACAUAUGUAGAAAUGUGGUCCAAUCCGCAUGAAACAAUUUUCUUUUUAAAGAUGGAUGCAAAUAGGUGUUCCAUCUAAAAAUAAUUGUAACUAACGGUUCAAAUGUUUUUUUAAUAUAAUUAUUAUUAUUUGUUUUCAAAAGUUAUUUAUUUAUUCAUAUUCUUGAUCUACAUGUUAACGAUUAUAUAUUAUCUAAAAAUUAAGAUCAAAUAAUAUUUAAAAAAUAUAUCUAUUGUCAAACCCACAUUUAUACAUGUGCGGGCAUGCUAACCAGUCCAUAAGUAAGCUUUCGUUUUAAAUUCAAUAUCACACCUCAAUUAUGUCAUGAAUCAUGCUUACUACGUGGCUUCCAAUUACCCUUGUAACCUGCAAAGCCGAUAAUAAUAAAUAAAUACCAAGGAGAGAAUAAUAAAUAAAUACCUAACACCAUUGCUCUGUCUGGAAUAUCCUGUAUAUUUACUUCCUUAAUAAAUCUAUUUUUUAGAUAGAUUUUAAGAUUUAGACGGUAAAUAUGAAAAAACAAAAUUUUUAUAACUAAAAAGAAUAAUUCUAAUAAAAAAACAUCCAAACAAUGGAACACCUACUUGCAUCCAUCCUUAAGAUGGAUGCUUUGCACUUUUUGGACCGCAUAUACAGUGCGGUCCAGCCCUCACGAAACAAUUUUCGUUUAGUGAAAUAUUUUGCAGCUCAUCUAAAAAGAUGCUUAUUUUUUAAAAAUCACUGGAUAAUUAGUUUUCAUGUGGACCCAGAUUUCUUCAACAACUUGACCUGAUCUCAAACAAUCGGACUGCUUUUGUUUCUCACGCAUUAAUUUUUUGGCACAUUAUAAAGUGUGGUUUAUUAUUUAUACUUAUUUUUAAUUUAGAAAAACACGGUUAUAAAAAUAAUAGAUUUUUAAAUUUUCAACACUUAGGGUCUCACCCUCUAAAACUCGACUAGGACAUCAUUUGUCCUCGAACAUACAUGAUUUCGAUUUUUUUUUGGAUAAAUUAAAUUCUGGGUGGGGUUUUUAUGAGUUAGUGGACUCAUCUGUCGAUGUGCGUCCCCCCACUAAAAUCCAUCGAAAACAUGGAUUUUGGAUGGAAGGAUCCAUAAUCUAGGAUAUAGUGAUUGAGUUUAACUGGAGGAAUUAAAUGCAUAAUUUGGUCCGGCGGGAGGACAAACCUCUUGGCAAGAUGGGCAUGACACUGACACCACUUCCCCGCUUUGUGCGGGAAAGGGGGCGUUCGACUCGCAUUUCUUUUAACCCUCCCCCUUUCCCGCCAAACCACAAUAAAUCUCUCUCUCCUCCCCGCGUUUCUCUCUCUCUCUUCUGUCCAUACAAUUUACUGUGAACCUCUUUCUCUCUCUCUUUGCUCCUGUCCUCUGCUCUCUCUUCUCUCCUCUCUUUACAUUUUGUUGUGAAUCUCUUUCUCAUUCUCUCCCCCUCUCUCUCUCUCUCUCUCUCAAAAACACCUGCUCUCUCUAUCUCUCCAUAGCACAUUAUCUUUCUAGAACACCCGACUACAAUUUGAAGGAUUCAUCUCUGGCGCUGCACAAUCCGUUUCGGAUCGGCUCCAUCUACAUGUAUGCAACUUUUGGGUUUUUUUUUAAUUCUUUUUUAGUUUUGAGAAUGUUGGAUUCACAUUAGAUUUCACCAGGUUAUUGAGAUUUGAGAAAUGAUGUAUAUUCCUGAAAAUUUAAUGUUCUUCCUCCAUUUUUUGGUACCCAAUUGUAAUUCAAGAAAAUUGGCGUUUUAUUUGCUUCAUCAAAAAAGUCAGGGACUUGAUGAUUUUUCUCUAUAUUUGUGAACCCAAUUAAAUUUCUGGGCCAAUUGCCAUGUGAUUUAAUGUAAUUGUUUUCUUUUGUUGAUCAAUAAUGUAACUGAAUUGUUUUGUUUUGUGCUGGAAAAUUGGUGUUUUCUCUGCUUCACUAUAAAAUCCAGGGACCGUCAUAAUCGAUAGACGGUUGUAUUUGUAUAGAUCAUUCUGGUUAUGGAGGUUUACAUGGUGAAUAUGCCCUCACUUUCAGUGUUGAGCAAGAUUUCAUGUUUAAAACUCUGCAUUUGUGUGUUUUUCUAGCUGUCUUUUCUAAUUGAGUAAAAUGCUAUUUUAUCGGUCAUAUGCAUGAAUAAGAUUGAAAGAGAAAAAUCAGUUUUGUUCGAAGUUUAGUUGUUUCCACAUCUUCAUAUUGAAAAAAUUAUGAAAAUUUUCCAAUUAAUAAAUUGAAGAUUGCUGUUUCCACAUCUCCAAUUAUUUGAAGCUUAGAUGUUUUCCAUACCUUCAUUGCGAAAAAAUUGAGGAAUAUUUAUGUUUUUUAAUUAGCAAUCUGGUGAAUAUAUUUAAGUUAAUCUUCUCUUCUUUUCCUUUUUUUUUUCCCUCUUCUGCAUAAGUGACAUUCUUCUAUUUUCUUUUUGUUGCAGUUCUAUGCCUUGCAGUGCGAAACCAUCAAUGUGCAGUUUGGUUUGUACAUUGAGACUAAGUGAAAAGAAUCCACUCUCCUACACCAAGAGGCCCAACCCUUGAAACUUGGACCUAUAUUAUAACAGCUUUUUUGUUUCUAAAACUAUAGUGCAUCAAAAACCAAAAUGAAAAAAGGGAAAGGGAAAACACAGAAAAACAGAAUACUUGUUCUUUUUGAAAUCCCGGGCUCAGCCUCAUAGAACUUAGAAAGAGAGAACCUAGAAAGGAAGAGAAACACAAAACCAAGAGAACUCCUUUCGGUUCAACCUAAAAAUCUUAUAGCUAUUCUUAAUCCUUAGAUUUCUUUGACCUCAAGCCGUUUCUCAUCUCCAAUCUGAAUUCACUGAAGUGAGAAGAACAGUAGGAAAAAGGAGGAAAAGGACAUAGAGAAAAACUGGCCCUUAUAUUCCUCCAAAUAAAGAAACCAAGUGGGAAGAACAAAGAAAAAGGGGCUACAUAGAUUUACAGAAAACGUAACCUUUUAUUUUCCCAAUUAAGCCUAAAUCAAGAAGCUAAAAUCCCUGACUAUCUUUCAAGCCCUAUAUUUGCAUGUCCUAACAAAUUAUCAUUCUCUCCCCACAGUUCCCAUACAAACAAAAAGAACUCCAUAUUUUACCAUGGAUUCUCUAAGUCACAACCCUUCAAAGAACUCUGCCUCAAGGCCCCCACCCACUGUUAAAUUCGCGAGGCGCACGUCGAGUGGUCGCAUCGUUAGCCUCUCAAGAGAUGAUGACUUAGACAUGUCGGGUGAGUUCACUUCCAAUGACUAUAUAAACUACACAGUCCACAUGCCUCCUACUCCAGAUAACCAGCCCAUGACAACUGAUGCUUCCGCGAAACCAGGGGAACAGCAACAAUAUGUUUCCAAUUCAAUGUACCCAGUAGACCCAAAAAGAGUAAUGAGAAAGGAUAGGGGAGAAGAGGAGGCUUACAACAAUGGUGGGACUGGUGGCACCGGAAAUGGGAUAAACCCGAAAAUGGAUCGGAGGAUGUCGGUUAUGAAGUCGAGUAAGUCUAUGCUAUUGCGGAGUCAAACAGGGGAUUUUGAUCAUAAUAGAUGGUUGUUUGAGACAAAGGGGACAUAUGGGUAUGGCAAUGCAUACUGGCCUCAGGAUGAUGGCUAUGGAGACGGUGAUGGUGUGAUGGGAGUUAGCAUGGCUGAUUUUAUGGACAAGCCAUGGAAACCUUUGACUCGAAAGGUCCAGAUCCCGGCUGCAGUGCUUAGCCCUUACCGGUACGCUCAAACAUUCGUUGUUUUUGGUUUGAUUGCGGUUCAAUGUGGAGGACUUCUCUAUAUUUUUCCAAAGAGUGUGAUAAUUUAAACUUUUUGGGCUCUUAAAUAUCCAGUGUCAUUGAGGAAGAAACUGUUAUGACUGUUUUUGUAUCGUGGUUUAUUACUUGUUUGUUUGAGGUGUUAAAACCAUCACCAAGGUGUUUAGCUUGCAUGAAGUUUGUUUUGGAUUUAGUAGUUAAAUGGGGUUUACUGAUACUACAUUGUGUAAACCUCCACCAAGAUUGUUUGUUCAUGUAUUAUCUCUCUAGCAAAAGUUUGAAGGGAAAAAAAUAUAUAUAAAAAAAAGAGCAUGUUUGUUUGCACUAGACUGGCACCAUAAUUAGAGAGAAUUAGUAAAUGCCCAAAAAUGAUUUGAAGGGUGGAAUAAUUGCGCAAGUAUACUAUCAUAUCCAGUGGCAACGUAUGAAACCAGAAUCCAUUGAGGUCAUCAUCAUCCAAUAAAAUGGACUAAUGAUGAAACCAGUUUUCAGAAGAUCGGCUGGACAGAUGUACUCAGCCCUUGGCCGACGUGAGUAACUCGGCCGUGUUAUGUAUACCCAAUAAAAGGGAAAAAAAAGGUUAAGAAAAGAUACAAAUUUCUUACAAAUCUUUAAAUAUCAGAUAAAAUUAAGAAUUUCAAUAGAAAUCAUUAGGAGACUAGAUAAGAUGAAAAAGGGUUGUAAAAGAUGAAUUACUGAAAAUUUUGAUUUGUACCAUAAAUAUUUCAAAAACAUAUAUAUACAAAUUUCCAAAUGAUAUUUUUCUUCUUGUUUUUGGUGCGUAAUCUUAAAAACUAGUAGAAUCUUCUAAGAAGUAUUUCUAACCAAUAAACUAGUGUUUUCUAAUUUUUUCAUAUUUUUUUAGGAGUUAUUUGGGCCUGGCAAGUUGGGCACCUAACUUGCCAGGAACUCACCUCCAGGAACUCGCCUCACCACUAGGACAAGGCCAAGUUACUCGGCCGAGUUGACUUCUCUGAGUCCCGUGACACCGGAUGAAACAUUGGGAUCCACCAUUCCAAUGUCAUGUUCUGGUGUUUCCCACUCCUUUCCAUAACCAUCCAUAUUUUAAUUCGCUGGCAAUCACCUCAUGCAUUUCUUGGUUUCAUAUCAGUGGAUUAUGGCAUACUUUUCCUAAAAAUUUACAUCUAAGUUCUAACAAUCUCAACAUUAAUAAACAAAUAAAUCAGUAUAAUUAAAGGAGAUAAAGGAAAUAUGAUACGAUGCUCGUUGAAACCAUGGUGAGAACUGCGCAGGUUGCUCAUAUUUGUGAGGCUGGUGGUGCUGUUCUUUUUCCUGAUAUGGCGAGUCCAGAACCCGAAUGAGGAUGCCAUGUGGCUAUGGGGCAUGUCAGUUGUGUGUGAGCUUUGGUUCGCCUUUUCGUGGAUCCUAGACCAACUCCCCAAGCUCAACCCCAUCAACCGAGCCACUGAUCUCACUGCCCUUCGCGACAAAUUCGAGCAACCCUCUCCCUCCAACCCCAUGGGUCGGUCUGACCUCCCAGGCAUUGAUGUCUUUGUCUCCACAGCUGACCCUGAGAAGGAGCCCCCGCUUGUUACUGCCAAUACGAUCCUUUCAAUCCUAGCUGUUGACUUCCCGGUCGAGAAGCUCUCAUGCUAUAUAUCUGAUGAUGGGGCUGCUCUCCUAACAUUCGAGGCCAUGGCUGAAGCAGCAGCCUUUGCUGAAAUGUGGGUUCCUUUUUGUCGAAAGCAUGGGAUUGAGCCGAGAAACCCUGAUAGUUAUUUUUCAGUGAAGGGGGAUCCUACAAAGAAUAAGAUGAAACCAGACUUUGUGAGAGAUAGGAGGAGGGUGAAGAGGGAGUAUGAUGAGUUUAAGGUCAGGAUUAAUGGUUUGCCUGAUGCUAUUAGGCGCAGGUCGGAUGCGUAUAAUGCGAGAGAGGAAGUGAAGGCAGCAAGGGAAGCAAGGGAGGCAGGUGGGGAAGGGGGGCUGGAGGGGGUGAAGGUGGUGAAGGCCAUGUGGAUGGCGGACGGGACGCAUUGGCCUGGGACAUGGGCGGUGCCAGCUCCGGACCACUCUCGGGGAGACCAUGCUGGAAUCCUUCAGGUAAAGACUCAUGCAAGAGAGAGAGAGAGAGAGAUCGAUGGUGUUGCUCGUGCACCGCCCAUGCAAAGUUGGGUACGAGCGUACACAUAGAGUAGUGAUUGCACACACAGAAUAGAAAGAGAGAUUUGCAUGCAGAGAAAGAGAGAGAGAGAGAGAGUCGGUGCGUGCAACUACAUAGUGAGGGUGCCGAUUCCGGUGCCACAUGCACAAUGCUGCUAACUGUGCUCCCAUCCAUGCACAGGUGAUGCUGAAGGUCCCACGCUGCGACCCGGUCCAUGGCCAUCCGGAUGAGAACGCUCUUGACUUUACAGAUGUUGAUGUGCGCCUCCCCAUGUUUGCUUAUGUCUCUCGAGAGAAACGCCCUGGCUACGACCACAACAAGAAGGCCGGUGCCAUGAAUGCCUUGGUGCGAGCCUCUGCCAUCCUCUCCAAUGGCCCUUUUAUCCUCAACCUCGACUGUGACCACUAUAUUUACAAUUGCCUUGCCCUCCGAGAGGGCAUGUGCUUCAUGAUGGAUCGGGGAGGCGAUCGAAUAUGCUAUAUCCAAUUCCCCCAGCGCUUCGAGGGCAUCGACCCCUCAGACCGCUAUGCAAACCAUAACACUGUCUUUUUUGAUGGUAACAUGCGUGCACUAGACGGCCUUCAGGGGCCUGUCUAUGUGGGCACUGGCUGCCUCUUUCGACGCUAUGCACUUUAUGGCUUCAACCCACCUCGAGCAUCAGAUUACAUGGGCCUCUUUGGCCACCACAAGGAGAAGGGGAGGUCGAGGGCCCUGAUGACGCCAGCACCAGAGGGGGAGUCUGAGACCCAGCCUCUUACCGCAGGUAGCGAUGAUCUUGUGGACCCAAAAAAAUUUGGGAACUCGGCUAUGUUAUCCGAGUCAAUCCCAGUGGCCGAGUUCCAAGCUCGACCACUUGCCGACCACCCAGCAGUCAAGAACGGGCGCCCCCCCGGUGCUCUCUUGGUCCCACGAGAGCCUCUUGAUGCUCCCACUGUGGCUGAGGCCGUCACGGUCAUCUCAUGUUGGUAUGAGGACAAGACCGAGUGGGGCGGGCGCAUUGGCUGGAUUUAUGGCUCAGUCACAGAGGAUGUUGUCACGGGAUACAGGAUGCACAAUAGAGGGUGGCGCUCAGUUUAUUGUAUCACAAAGCGCGAUGCAUUUCGGGGGACUGCACCCAUCAACCUCACAGACCGUUUGCACCAGGUUCUACGGUGGGCUACUGGCUCUGUCGAGAUCUUCUUCUCUCGGAACAAUGCAUUACUUGCCACCACACGUAUGAAGUUCCUGCAGCGCAUUGCCUACAUGAACGUGGGCAUCUACCCCUUCACCUCGAUCUUUCUCAUCGUUUACUGCUUCCUUCCAGCCCUCUCUCUCUUCUCCGGUCACUUCAUUGUCCAAACUCUCAAUAUCACUUUUCUGGUCUAUCUUUUAAUAAUCACAGUGACUCUCUCGUUGCUUGCCAUACUCGAAGUGAAGUGGUCAGGGAUCGGGCUCGAGGAGUGGUGGAGGAACGAGCAAUUCUGGCUCAUUGGGGGGACUAGUGCACACUUAGCAGCGGUGAUCCAAGGCUUGCUCAAGGUGAUAGCUGGAAUCGAGAUCUCUUUCACUCUCACCUCCAAGUCCACCGCAGAGGACGAGGACGAUGCCUUUGCCGACCUCUACGUAGUGAAAUGGACAAGCCUGAUGAUCCCACCCAUCACCAUUAUGAUGGUGAAUUUGGUGGCGGUGGCUGUCGGGUUUUCUCGGACACUUUACAGUGAGAUCCCGCAGUGGAGUAAGCUCUUAGGGGGCGUUUUUUUCAGCUUCUGGGUGCUUGCUCAUAUGUAUCCUUUUGCGAAGGGAUUGAUGGGAAGGAGGGGCAGGACGCCGACAAUUGUGUAUGUCUGGUCGGGGCUCAUUGCCAUUACCAUUUCAUUGUUAUGGAUUUCCAUCAGCCCGCCAAAGGAUGCCCCUGGAGUAUCUGGCGGGAACGUGCACCUCUCAUAGCUUUGCUUUAAACAGGUCUUUUUUUGUAUGCUAUUUAUUUAUUUAUUUAUUUUUUUUGGGUUGAGUUAGUGGGGCCCUUGCAGGAUAUCAUAUUUUUUGUCAGAUAUUAACAUUUGUUCAUUUAUUUAUUUUUAGAGCUGUAAAAGAGGAAGCUUUUGGAGCUCGGACAAUUCUUGUUAUUUGUUUUGGUAUGUCAAUACUUUUACUUCUUUAUUUACAUCAGAAUUCGGAUUAUAUCUAGAUUUGUAGUUUAUCUCAUGCUUUAGCCUUGUGUGUCGUGUCAAUAUGUGUCCACAUGACACCUUUAGUUUAUUAGAAAUAUUAGAAUAGCAUAAAAGGGCUUAUUAUAAGAUUUAAACUCUUGCCGUUUAGUCUAUUUGGGAAAAGUUUUUUUAGAGCCGAGGCUCUAAACAAUCAAAUUAGAACCUACCUAAAAAUUUUUACUAAAAGAGAUGGUUUUGAUGCCCAAGUAUCCUCAAAUCCAUUGUCUCGAUAUCAAGAUACAUGGACAUAAGAAAAAAAUGAAUUUCAAGUUUUGGAAAUAGGGUAUUUUGUAACGAAUUUUUGGACCAUCAAUUUUCAAAAUUUUCAAGUUUUCAUGGAUUUGUUGAUCUAAACUAUUUUUGAAGCUUUAAACUUUAUAAAUAAAGAUGAGAAUAUAUUUUAAGGCUAUCAAAAAGAUUUCUAGUAUUGAAACCACAUUUCUUGACACCAUUUGAAGGUAGGCUCCAUUGUUAGAACCUAGGUUCUAUACAAACCCAAUAAUCAGAAAGACGUGUCUAGCCGUAUAUGGCUAUGGCUUUUCAGGCACCUUCAAUACUUGUCGAUACUGACAUUUAUAUAGGUGUCCAUAGCACACUAUUUAUUUAUCUCUAAAUAACCCUCUCUCUCUCUCUCGUUAGUGAUCUCCAUGUCUAUUAGUACCAAGCAACCAAUGUUUGUUUAUCAACUAAACCAAAGGCAAGACAAUAUGCGAAAAUAUUCUGUGCACAGCAACGCCUCAAUUCAUUUUCUAUAGUUACCAACAAUUUUCAUGAAAGAUAAAUAAAUAGUUAUUAGUUAUUAACAUCACUAGUGACUAAUAAAGUUACAUUUCCAAAUAAAUAUAACCUUAUUGAAAUAAGAGAAUUUUUUUUGCUAUAAAAAGAUAAAAAUAAAAGGGGAAAAGUUGAAAACUGAUGUUUAAUAGUGUAUUGAAAUCUGUUGUCUUCACACAUGGACCUGAGCAAAACCACAAGAACAUUAUAAGAUUAUACCCCACUAUUCGGAGUUGCAAAAAACAAAAAAAAACUUUGAUUCUUGAAAAUUAAAAACCAUACAAUAAACUAUAAUCUCACAAAGGAAGUCACCACCCUACAAAGGCUUCACUAGAUUUGUCACGGGGGCACCAUUAAAUCUUAAUACAUUACCCAACAAUUUAUUAUACUUGUAAUUAACCCACCUCUCUAUUUGGGAGUUGCAGCAAAAAAAACACCGUGGAGAAAUUCACAAAAAGAAGUCACUAACCGCACAAAAAAUACUGCGGCAAUCCAUUAACCCCAAAAAAGAAGAGGCAAACAGAUCAACAUGGCAAUAACUCUUAUCCCUUCUUUUUUACUCUUUUUCUCUUUGUGUAACAGCUAGCAAGAACAUGGAAGACUAGAAAAUAAAUAUAGGUGCAGUAUAAAUUAUAUGGGAUUGUAUACCAUAAGACCAUUUGCCUAUAGUAAAGAAAGGAUACAAAUUAUACAAUACCAAAAGGAAACAAUCUUAUGCUAUAAUUUCCCAAACCAUAUUUGUGGGAUAACCAAGGAGAAAAUAUGGUAGUUCUGUCAAGUCAAUGUUUAAUAGAAGCAUUUGAGCAAAUCAUUAUUUCAUUUUUGUUUUAGGAACAAAAAUUCAGAAUAUCUAAGUUGCGCCAAUAUUUCGCCUUUGAAAUCUGAUCCAUAAUUUAUUGAAAUCGAGUAUCAUAAUAGGCAAAAUAUAAAUUUAGGCUUUAGAAUGUUAGAUUUCCUCUGUUUCAAAAACUUAUGUUGCUGAAAUUUUGACAAACAAUUUCAUGUUUGAGCAUGUAUACCGUAUCCUGUACUUCUGCAGAAGCAAACUAUAUACUUCCUCCCCUGGGUAAAACAACUAAUUAGGACGACUUUUUAUUUGAAAAUUUUGGAUCCACUUUAGAGUCACCAAAUGAAUAUUUUAAAACAUAAAAAAUAUUGAUUUUGAGUUCAUAAACACUUAAAUCUGACAAUCCAAAAACUGGAAGCUCUGUUCAAUCUUAGGAUGUUACUUUUUUAGGCACAUAUAAAGUGCUUAUGUCAUUUUUCUUUUUCUUGUCAGAUUGGUUGAUAGGUUUAGGACUUUGCACCCCAAACUUGGGGUAGGAUUUUAGCCAAAGGAGUGAAAGUAAUAUGUGCUCCCAUGGGAGUAUAAAAUCUAUUAGCUUCCCAUUAUGCUCUACUUAUUCCUCUGAAUUGGAGGAUAAUGCUUUUGUAGUAAUGUAAACAAACAAGUAAUGAAGCCAUGGCAUUGGCACUGAAAACCUAGUAAAGGAUAUCGUGAUCCCUCUCAUAAGCUUUUACAAAACAUUCAAAAAUACAAAAUAUCUGAGGAACGCAUAAAUAAGUGAAUAUAGUGUUCAGAAAAUGGAACUUCAUUGUUCCUGUGAAAAAUAAUGGCAGAAUAAACAGAUUGUAUAAAGCUGACAAGCGCAUCUAAAGUCCAAAUUCAUUAGAGUGGACAGCAUAGCCAGAAAACUGUAGAGAGAGAGAGAGAGAGAGAGAGAGAGAGAGAGAGAGAGAGAGAGAGAGAGAGUACGUACGUACGUACGACGUACGUACGUACUACGUACUAGUAAGUAAACGUAAACGUAAACGUAAACGUAAACGUAAACGUAAACGUAAACGUAACUAACCUAACCUACCUACCGUACCNNNNNNNNNNNNNNNNNNNNNNNNGAGAGAGAGAGAGAGAGAGAGAGAGAGAGAUUACCUGUGACACCAUGUCACAUGAUAAAUUGAAAACCUGAACUAAGAAGAAUCACACCAUUCUCGCGCAUUCUGAAACAUCCUCAACCAAGGGCUGGGUCCCUUCCUAUCAAACCCCCAAUCUUUUGGGUACCACGGGAACUGCCACAUGAGGAAGCAACGCUCGGGAUGCGGCAUCAUAGCUAGAUGCCUCCCAUCUGGUGAACACAGAGCAGCGAUCCCUAAUGGUGACCCAUUGGGAUUAUGAGGAUACACCUCAGUUACUUUACCAUCAUCAUCACAAUAUCUAACAGGUGCUAGCCCUGAACCCAAAACUCUCUCUAAAACCCCAUCACUUGGAAAGAAGGCUCUCCCCUCUCCAUGUGCCGACCAUACUCCAAGCGUGCUCCCUUGCAUGCCCUGGAGCAUAACGGAGGGGGAAUCAUGGAUUGUAACACUAGCAAAUCGACACUCAAACCGACCCGACUCGUUGUGUAUGAACCUUGGUUGGGUCACAUCACCACAUGGCUCAAGGCCACUUGAACCCACUUGGGGUCCUGGGACCCAACCCAACAGAGCCAUGAGUUGGCACCCAUUGCAUACACCAAGACUGAAAGUAUCUGGCCUAUCAUAAAACUCUUGAAACUGACUUAAGAGAGAAGAAUUGAAUCGAAUUGAAGCUGACCAACCCUUUGCUGAAUCCAAAACAUCAGCAUAGCUGAACCCACCCACAAAGGCUAAACCACGAUAAUCUUUGAGAGAAACCCGAUCAUUAAGCAAGUCAGUCAUAGCCACAUCCCAUGGCUCAAAACCAGCUGCAUAAAAGGCGGCGGACAUCUCUCUAUCCCCAUUACUCCCUUCUUCACGAAUAAUGGCAACUUUUGGCUUUGAACCCAUUUUCAUAAGCUUUUCUUCAGUGAAUCUUGGAGUGAAUGGUAAUCCCCAAGUGGGUGCAUGCCUACUCUUGAGUAAAUCCCGCUCUGAUUGCACACAAGAAGCCAAACUUUGGAACAUCUCAAGCUCAAAACUUGUAUCUUCCCAAAAGUCCCUUAAAAAUGAGGUCUUUUCCUUCAAUUGGGGCACCCCAUCAACCAGUAGCUCUAUCAAUGGCGAGGAGGUAACAUGUCCAAUGAGCUGAGCUGACACACCUGAAGCAUCGAGUUUCUCCAUAACCAGACCGACAUUUGCUUUGCUGACCUCGAGAACAAGACCCAAUUCUUCCGCGAAGAGAGCUCGAAAAUGGUCUCCAUCCCUUGUGUCAAGCUCGACAUGUAACCCACAAUUACCUGCAAAUGCCAUCUCAAGAAGGCACACAAUUAGGCCCCCAUCAGUAAUGUCAUGACCAGCUGAGAUCAAGCCCUCUUCGAUUAGUGACUGAACAGUCUCAAAAGUUCUCUUGAGAUGGGAAAUGUCUUCAAGAUCAGGGCAUUCAUCACCUAUCUGAUCAAAGGUUUGGGCAAGGGCAGACCCACCCAACCUUCUUCUCCCUUCCGCCAAAUCGAUAUGAAGCAAUAAACCAUCGUCCCCGAGUUUCAAAUCCGGGGUCACAGUUUUGGUUAUAUCAGGGCAAGUCACAUAAACACUAAUAACAAGAUUUCCAGGGGCCUUAACAGUCUCACCAGAUGCCUGUGCGGCCAUUGAAAGGCUGUCUUUUCCCCCAUCAAUGGCUAUACCCAACUCAAUCAUUGACUCUGAGAGAGCCAUAGCUGCAUCAUACAUGGCUGCUCCUUCACCGUCAAGCUUAGCAGCAUACAUCCAGUUCCCACUAGCCUUUACAUCACCAAGAGAAGUUACUUUAGCCCAAACAAGAUUUGUCAAGGCUUCCCCCAUGGCUAGCCUAGCCAUUGCUUUUGGGUUCAAUAACCCUUUUAUUGGUUGCUCUCCUAUAGCACAAGCACCACCAGUGAGACCUGCAUAAGUUUGAGCAAUCACUGCAACAUCGGCAAGAGGAAGUUGCAAAGGCCCGACAGUUUGCUGUUGAACCACAAGACCAGUCACACAUCUAUCAACCUUGGUGGUCAGGAAUCGCUUUGAACAAACUGAAGGAAGUCUAAGAACUCUUUUCAAACAGUCCAACAAUGUAAUGCCAGGGGCUAUAUCGAGAGGCUCUCUUGCAUUGAAUGCUCGCUUGAAUUCAAAGGUCUUUUGGGGCAUGUCUCCGAGGACCUUUUCGAGGUCUAAGUCCACAGCAGGGGGAGGAGGAGGAAGCCCCUUAGAUUGGCACUCUUUAAUAGCUCGACUGUCCAUCAAUACAACCCUACCAUCACCGCUGAUGGACCCUAUAACAGCCAUAGAGACCUUCUCUCUCACACAUAUCGAAAGCAACAAAUCCUUGCUCUCAGGCUUCACAAGCAAAGCAUCUUGUUCUUGGUAUUCAGCACCCCAUAUCUCCAAAACCGACAUUGUCUCAUCCCCAACCACAAUGGAUCGAAUAUCGAUUUCAGCCCCCUUUGGGAAAAUUAUUUCUUUCACAACAUUGCAAUUGCCUCCAGCCCCUUGAUCAUGGAUGCUCACAAUGGGGUUCUUCUCACCCAUUUCAAUGCAAGCACGAACAACACGAUAUAACUUCUGUGCCAUUUCUGCAUCUCCACGCUGAACUGCAUUGAAGUCGAGCUCUGCAUCAUUUUGUCCACUGACCAUACUAGAGGCAGCUCCACCACCCAUUCCAAUACGAUAAGCUGGGCCCCCAAUUUUCACAACCAACAUACCAAUCUCUGGCUCUCCCUUAGAUAUAAGUUCAUGGUCUAUUUGUCCAAUUCCCCCACUAAACAUUAUAGGCUUAAGCCACUCUCGCCUUUCACCGCUAGGUAACCUCAUACCAAAAGUUCUCGUAUAACCUUGGAUGAGAGGCUCCCCGAACUUGUUGCCAUAAUCUGAAGCCCCAUUGCUUGCAUCAAUCAAAAUCUGAAGAGGGGAAGCCAAGUUUGAAGGGUAUAUGAAGGAUGGAUCCUCCCAUGGGGCAUAAGAACCUUCCAUUCGAAGGUUUCCAACACAAUAACCAGCAGUGGAGGCAACAACAAAGGAGCCUCUUCCUGUUGCAUGGGUGUCACGAAUUCGACCCCCUGCUCCAGUUUCAGCACCAGGGUAUGGAGCCACCGCACAGGGAAAAUUGUGCGUCUCAGCUGUAAAUAGAAUAUCAAAUGUGCGAUCAGAUAAACUCAACUGAGAGAUAACACCAGAUGAAAUAGGAAGCAGUGGGUUCACUGAGAAUCCCUUGAUUGCGCUGGAAUUGUCCUUGAAACCAAUAACUGAAUUGCUUGGAUUUGCCUUCAAUGGGCUCUUCACAAUCUGAAAAAGGGUUUGGCUCAUACGUUGCCCAUCAAUAACUAACUGCCCAUUGAAAAACCAGUGCCUGCUAUGCUCACUGUUAGACUGUGCAAUAUCAAAGAGCUCCACAAUGGUUGGGUUUCUCUUGAGAUCAUCCUUAAAAAGCCCUAAGUAAUACUGAAGGUCAUACUCAUCGAACGCAAGCCCCAUCUUCUUGUUUAUCUCUUCUAGUGCUGCCCUUCCUUUCUCAAUAACUGGCACUUGAGUGACAGAAUCAGGCACCAUAGCUGUCUUAAAUGAUGUCAGUUUGGUGGAAUAUACACAUUCAGUCAUCUUAUCAUGCACCAUUGCAAGAAAAUCUUGAAUUUGGCUUUCAGGUAAUAGAACACUGCCUUCUUUGAGAUAAAGCAAGUACCUUCUUGACCUCUCAAUCCUAUUCACUUCAGUCAAAGAACACGAUUUACAAACAGAGACAGCAUUCGCAGACCAAGCAGUUGUGAAAGAAAGACGAGGCCCUACUUCAAUCAACACAGUGGAUGUCCCUUCUCUAUUUCCACCAAGAAAACUCUCAUUUUUCAAAUUUUCAGGCUCAUAAGUCUCUUGAAGAAGCCACUUGAGAAUGUCAAGCUUGUCAUCUGAUAGGGGAGAGCUUAACCCCACAUUGAAGCAUUGCUCAGUCUCCAAACCAACAAUUUGAUUUGAGACCUUCAUCUGGACUCUUUGGAGAAACUCUUCAGCUGCACUCUCUCUAAGAUAAGGUAGACGAUAAAAAUGUAUUACUUCGCCUGAAUUUUUCAUAGCCAUGUUUUCUUCACGUAUAAGCCCUUGUUUACUUUCCGACAGCAUAGCCCCGGUUUUUCGUGACCCUAUAAUUUGUGAUCCAAUUCUUUGACUAAGAAAGCCCAGUGAAGGAAGAUUGAGGUCUCUUUGAUAGACUAUAUAGCGCCUUUGCUUGCUAGAACCUCUAGCAAAAGGCCAGAAUGUCCUGUUUUGCUGCAACAUAUGAAACACAUAAAAGUUUAGGUAGCCCGCAUUAAAAGAAAAUGGAUCUAACAAACACAGUGCCAUUGAAUUAGAUGAAAGCAUUAGAGAAAAUGACUUUUUACUGACAAGGACAAGCUAGUCUUUCAACCACAAAAACAAAGACAUGGAAGAUAGGAAAGGGAAGGGGGGUAAAAAGUAACAUAACAACCUAUAAUCAUUACCACAAUACUAAUGCCCCCAAAAAAAAAAGUCACAUGAAAGCAAAAAUAUUUAAAACUUUAAUGCCAAAGAUGCACACAAAAUAUCAUGGCAAAGAAAUUCAGACAUCAAGCAUCAUUAUCAAAAAGAUUUAAACGCAAAACCAAAGAAGUAUUAGACUAAUGCAUAAAAGAGUAUCCAUGCAGCAAAAAAGGCAAGAGAUUUUCUUAUUUGUAUGGAAUUUUCUCUCCAGCUAAAAGGCCCAAGUCCCAUAACUUUUAGCCCAUAAGCUUACAUAACAAUGGAUAUGCAGAACCUAACAUUUUCCCUUAGUAGGUAGGAAACUCAACUUUAAAAGUGCCAUGAAGGACUGGAGUCAAAAAGAAAAAGAAAAAGAAAACAAAGAAAAAUAAGAAUUUUUUGAAGUGGUCUACAUGAGACAACAGAAUCUAUGUUCUUGGUUCUAUAUGAAUAAAAAAUAAUAAUCUAUAUUUUGGAUCGGCUUCUUUUUUGGCCAUUGCUUUGAUUCUACAUCGAUGUAAGUCUUAAGAAGAUGGCUUUUUGAUUCUCUGUGUUUUUCACCACCUUUCCUUUAAAGGGGUUUUCGUUUACAUGGACCUUCCGCCUUGUGGAUAGCCUAUGUUUCUCAGUCGGUUGUACUUUCUUCUCCCAUAUAUUAAAGGUUAAAAUUGUUAAUAAUAAUAAUCUAUAUUCGAGCAAAAACUUACAGAAUUGAAGAGAAAACUUAACCUCUGCAAAUUUAUAAGGAAAGGAAAACAUACCUGCCAGGUUAGAGCCAGGGAAGUUCCUUUACAUGCAGCCAUUUAGCUUCCCGAACAAGAGGCAAAGCCGCAGAGUAAAACAAUACCUGAGUAACAGAUGCCACGUUAACUUCAAAUGAAAAUACAAAACCAUGUGAUUUUAAGAACAUGGAUUUUUCAACAUAUCAAAGGGAAAGCUCAAACCAUAUAGAUCCUACAUACCUAAAUUCACAAACUAAAUUCUAUGAAAAAUAAAACCCAAAACAUCAAUUUUAAGAACCCACUGCUCUGAAAAAAUGACAACAAAACAAAGAUCAAGAGUUGAUGGUACCUAAUGACUGAAACCUCGUUUCUGAAAUGGAUAUAAAGACGAGAAACCGCUCUAAAAAAUUCCUAAAAAUAAGGAACAGAGCAAAUGCAGAAGAAAGUCAAAGAUCAAGAGUUGAUCGUAACUACUGACUGAAACCCUUUGUGCCCUGGUUCCCUACCGCUUCUUCUGAAAACAAAAACAAGCAACCUGAUCACUUUGCAAGAGAGAGAGUAUUUGUGUUAGAGAUUUUCCUGUCUUUAUUUGUCUCUCAUGAAAGGGUUAGGGUUCUCACUUGAAGAGCAACGCUCUAAGUAUAGUAUCAUGAACAAACCAUAAACCUUCCCGCAAAUUUUAGAAAAAGUAAAAGUGUUUUUAUAAGUUCUCACCCAAAUGCUUUUGGGACUGUAAAAAUUAUCUUUCUUCUGUAUAUAAAACACCAGUAGGUUCGUGACCAGGGUCAAGAGAUAAAUCUUAGGUCCGGAGUUCGGCUUGAGUUACGCGCUGCGCAGAAUAAAAAUAAAAAUAAAUAUUUUGUAAGGUUUCGGAGCGCGAAAAUAGUUCGAAUUUGCGUGUCCAUUUUACCUUCAUGAAAAAUGGUUUUUUAUUUUUUUUGAUAAGGCAACAUAGGAAUGGAAAAAGAAACGUUGUGCUAUCAUGAAAAAUGGUUUUUUAUUUUUUUUGAUAAGGCAACAUAGGAAUGGAAAAAGAAACGUUGUGCUAUGAAAACCCAGCCUGUACCAUCUUGACCCGAGCUUAACAUGAAACCUUAGCCUCUAUCAUUUUGACCCAAGCCUAAUUCUUUCAUGAAAAAUUAUUUGGUAGGGCUAUAGCCUAUCAAAACAAGUAAAGCUUCACCUCCUAACCUAUAGAAGUUGUAAUUUAAGCAUUAUAAAACCUUUACAUCAAUCAUUAUAGUAUGAACAUUAUGGUUAUAAAAAAUAAUAUAGGAUUUCAAACUCUAAAAAUAGUGUAUAUUAUAAUAAAUGAUCUAGAUUGUAUAUUUCACCCUAAAAACAAGUGUUAAUAGAUUUACAAGAUCUUUAUUAUUUUUUGAGCUUUGAAUUUUAUUCUUGACGUUGAAAAUUUAUUUUAGAGUCAUCAUGAAAAUUUAUGUCGGCGAAAAUGCUUUUCGGAUGAAAAUUUGAAGUGAUGCUUUAUUUUAUUUUCAUAAAGCCUAAGCCCUAUAAAAACCUCAUCCAAGGUAACAAUGACUUGUACUAAUCGUUUACAUACAAAAGAGGUAUUAAUUUUAUGCUUUCUUUCUGACUUACCACUAUCUUUAUUAAAAAAAUACAAAAGAUUUUUAUCGAAUAAAUAAAUUUAUAAAAAAAAAUAUCUUGAUUAUUUGAUUAUUGGAAAUAAACUCCAAACCUCCCAAAAACCGUCCAUACCUCUUUUUUGGGUAAGUAAACAAAAAUAACCUUCACGAUAGUCUUAGAAUCAUGGAGCCAUCACGGCAUAUUGAAAACCGUGAGAGUCAUAGCAGGUUGUAAAUCAAAUACAGUUUUGAAGCAUCACAGCACUUAAAGAACCGUAAUGGUUUAUUGGACUAUCAUGAUUUUAAUUUAAUUGCUUUAUUGUUACGUAAGCAUCACGACUAAAUGUCAUGAUGCCUUAACAACCAUCACACCUUUUUUAGUGUUGUGAUGCCUUUUAAGGACCAUUACGGUUGUUUAAGGGCCGUGAUGUCUCAAAAUAUUAUACCGCCUAUGAUCAUCAUGGUAGUGAGUUUAUUGUAAUGUAUUCAUGGUUUCAAUACUACCAUGAAGGUUAUUUUGGUCAAAAAACAUAAAAAUUUCAGAAAAUGGGUAUGGAUGACGUUUAAGAAGGUUUGAGGUUUUUUUCAAUAAUCAAAUAAUUAAGGUAUAAUUUUUUUAUAAUUUAUUAUAAAUAAAAUGUAUUAUCUACAAAUAUAUCAUUUAUCUUUUGUAUAUGGAGAUCACAAUCAUUCUUGUCCCUUAAAUUUCAAAAUAGGUAGUUGUAAUAGUAUUAUUGAAUAGACGCAAAGUUAAAAAAUAUAUAUUUGGACUUAGUAACUCACCCCAUGCCAUCUAACUUAACAUACCUAAUAAGUGGGAAUGAGUCAUCAAAUUUAACGUCAAAUAAAUGGGAAUGAUUGUGAUCUCCAUGUACAAAAGAUAAAUGAUAUAUUUAUAGACAACUCCUAAAUAAAAUAUAAAAAAAGUGUACAAAAAAAGUCACCGUCAUCAUUGACUGUUAGAUUUGCAAUCAAGGUCGAGGAUAGGAUAUUGUUUAGGCACAAAGUCCAAAGUAAAAUUUCUUGAAUAUUGGGAUAUACUUUUAUCUAUAAUUGAAAAGGAUAAUUUAAUAAAAUAAAUAACCAAAAAUACAUUUAUAAAAUUUUAAUUUAUAAAAAAACAUUUUAUAUUUGUAUUUGUUGGGUGUGUUUUAAUAAGGGGUGGGCCCAUUCUAAAUUUGAUUUUAAAAUGUUUUAUAUAGAUAAACUAGAAAAAAUUAUGUAUGGUCACAUGUUUUGGCCAUAUUGAUUGAUGUAAGGUCCUAGACUUUCAAGUUUUUUUUUGUUUUCUUUUUUUUUUUCCCCAAUUCCUAAUUUGAAUGUCUCCCUCUCGAGUCACCCACAUACAAAAAGCUUAAAAUAUUUGGGCAAUUCAAAAGUAAAAAAAAUGUUUUUGGAUGAUGCAAUAGUAUAACUUCCAAAUUUUUUUUGCAUGAAAUAGUAAAGAAUAUUGUUUUUGAGAGGGUCCUAUAAGAUUAUUACUCUUAAUGUUAUAGUCUAGUGCUAAUCAAUAUAUUGUAGUGUUAAUAUAAUUUUGGGAACUGUAUCUCCUAAUAGAUAAGCUACUUAGCUAUUUGCCCCAUUUCAACUACUCCAAUUCUGAUAUGUUGAAGGUUUUUUUUUUUAAAAAUUAAAAAAAAAAUUGAAAUGUUGAACAAUUCAUUUAUUUUGAUCAAUAUUUGUCAAUCUUAUAACUUUUUGUCUCUUAUAGUGUCGAGACUGUAACACUUUUUUAUUUUAAAAAGUGAAAAAAAUCUCAUUUUCCCCUAAUUUAAUAUCCAAAUUUUUAUUAUAAAAAGUAAGAAAAAAAUCUCAUUUUCCCCUAAUUUAAUAUCUAAAUAUUUUGAACAAUUGUACAUCCACCGACUGUCGAUGUUAUUUUUUUAGGCACAUGUUCAAUACGUGUGAUUUUGUUGUAGAGAAAUUUACAUGUGGACCGGAAAACGAUGCGUUAUUACCGUAUGGUUCAAAAUUUGAGUGGUAUUAUGUUAAGGUCCAACUCUUUUGGUUUCGUAUUUCUAUUUAUUGUAGUUCAAAGUUGUAAUUGUAAUUUUCGAACCACAAAGCACGAAAAAAAAAUUAAUGUGUUUGGGCUAUUUGAAAGUCUCACAUUCAGACAACCCGAAACAUGUGAUUGGGCUAUUUGAAAGCCCAGCUUCCAACUGUCAAAAAAAAAAAUAUGACGCAUUUGGGCAAUUUGAAAGCUUGAUUUUUUAACUAUCCAUUGAUGUUUGUGCUUUUAGGCAUAUGAAAGAUUAAACUUAUUAUUUAUAGAGAUAAAAUGGAAAUAAAAAAGGAAUUGCAUCUCAUAAGGUAUUUAUUUUUGUUACAAAUGUGGUGACAAAUACUCGAGCUAUUGAUGUCAAAUUGGAGCGUUUGGGGUACAUCACUAAGUUAUGGUUUUUUUUUAACUUUGAAUAUGAUAGACUCACAAGAAUUUAAAAUUUUAUUGACAAGAGUAAUUGUGACCUUCUUAUACACUAAAAGUAGAAGAUAUAUUUGUAAACUUGUCUAAUAAAUAAAAAAACCCUUAAAAAAUUAGGACCUCCAGGUAACGUAUUAUGGCUAGGCUAAAGUUUAAAAAAUGGAAUGGUGACUUGGAUUGGCCACUACAAAAUUAGGUUGAAUUGAUGGUUUGUCGAUCUGAAUCGGAGAAUCGACUGGAUCCGCCUCAAAGAAAUUUAAAAUAAAUCAUUAAAAAACCCCUAAAAAUAGUGUUUUUUGAGUUUUUAAAUAAAAUAGAAAUGAUGCAUUAUGUACUUCCAUUAUUUGCUAAAACACACCAAGAUGGAUAUGCUAUUUGCCUGUUUCAAUGUCUGUUGACCAUAAAUUUGGUGGUCCUCCUCACUUAAUUUGGGAUCCUAUUCUUUAAAAUUUAUUCAUUUUCAUUACUCGUAAAAGAUUAUCACAAGCUAAUCAAUUAUAAUACCUUACGACUGAAAUUGGAAUUAUUCAUUCAUAUUUUACAAUACAAAUAUGGAUAAAUUUAAGUUGUCUUAUAAUAUCAUAUAAUUAAAAAGAUAUUUGUUACAUUUAUAACGUUAUGUAAUUUAUAAUGUACACAAAUAAGAAAUAAACUACACAAUUUUGUUAUUAAUGUAUAAUUCUAACACAAUAUUAUAAUAUUACAUCAAACAUGAUUCAAAAAAAUAAAAAACUCCAAAUUAUAAAACUAAAAAAUCAAACCCCUCAUAAAUUUUAAUGUUACGACCUUAAAAAAAUAUAUUCUUCAAAACAACAUUUUUCCUAAAAAAAUGGAAAAAUAAUGACAUAUAAUCCGAGAAAAUAAAAAUAAUAAAAAAAAAAACAAUUGAAUCACNNNNNNNNNNNNNNNNNNNNACUCUAUUCCUAUACCAAAAUUUCAUCUUCAAACACUUGAAUAUCAAUAUACUGUAUUUAAGACAACAGAGGGAAAACCGAUUACUUCAAUCCAUCAUCUUGAGAAAAGCCUCAAAAUCAAGGGAGCGCCAUCAAAAACUCCCACAGAAACUGACAAUGAGGACGAAGAAUCAACCUCUCAAAACCAAAUGGUCCUUUAUGAAACUGUAGCUACUCCUUAUAAAUUAAACAAUGCAAAUAUGUCUCGUAUUGAAUUACUUCCCCAUAUAAUUGAAUAAAACAAUUAUACAAACCUUUAUCUUCAAACUCUUGAAAAACAAACGGUUAGAAUCGAGAAUUUGUUAACUCCCACACGACAAAAUGAACUAAAGAAAAUUCUCUUUAAACCUCCCCCUGAAAUAAAUAAAGACAAAUUCUUUAUAGGAGCUAAUAAUAAAACUCUCAUGGAUCAGUUAAUAUCCAAAUUAUCUAAAUUAGAACUCAAAGAACCCAAGAGAACAAUCAUUGAAACAAGCCCUGGAGCUAAUUCAGAAGACAGAGAAAAAGCUAAAAUUCCUGUCCAUGAUAAUAUGGCUAUUCAAGAAGAAGACCCUGAACCUCAAAUUAAAAAUACUCUGUCAAAUAUGCAAAAGGCAUUCACAGAACAAAGUAUUUCUUCAGACAAUAUUUAUCGAAUCAAUUAUAGUAAAAACUGGCAGCCUAUAAAUGCUAGACCAUAUUACAAGAGACCAAUCCCGGUUGACAUACAAUUAGAAGAAGAUUUAGUUAGUCAUACAUCCACCUAUACUGGUCGAACCAUCAGUAAUUGGAGUAUUGAUGGAAUUUCAGAUCACCAAAUACUAGAUACUAUGCGACAUAUGACAAUGUACGCAUCAGCAUGUAAGAUGGCUGGAAGCCAUGACCAGGAAAUAGCAAAGCUAUCGUGUCUGGAUUUACUGAUUGGCUUAGAGGAUGGUGGGAUUUCCACCUCAAUGAUCAAACAAAACAACAGAUUUUGACAAAUACCCGAAAUUGGACAGCAAAGAAUGAACACAGCCAAGAUGUGUUAUACACUGAAAGUGAUGUUGUUAAUACUUUAAUAUUAUACCAUCGCCCUACAUUUUAUAGGCAAUACUGCUAUCUUAGCAGCAAGAUCUGCUGAUCUUUUAUCAAACCUUAGAUGUCAUACAUUAUCCCAUUAUAAAUGGCAUAAAGACGUUUUCUUUUCUCGUUUACUUAUACGAGAAGAUAGCCAUUUAGAUCAUUGGAAAGAAAAAUUCGUAGCCAGCUUACCCAAUUUAUUUGUCGAAAAGGUGAAAGAACGCUUAAAAGGUAAGCAUGGUGGUACAAUCAUCUAUUCCCAAUACACCUUAGGAGAAUUAUCGGCAGAAAUCUGUGCUGAAGGAGAAUUCCCAAUAAACCUCCAAAUGUUUUUAAAAAGAAAAAGAAAUUUACAAAAAGAUUUGCUUCUAAUAAAUCAUCCCAAAGAAAGGAUAAAAAAUUACCUGUCUGUUAUAAAUGUGGAAAAGUUGGCCAUUACAAAAGCCAAUGUAAAGUCAAAAAGAAAAUUGCUGCUGUAAUCUUAGAUGAACAAAUAAGAAAUAAAAUAUAUGAUAUUAUCCAAAUCUACGUUUCUCUAUCUAGUUCAUAUUCGGAUACUACUUCAUCCAGUAGUAAUACAUAUUUUCUUGGUAAUAUCCAUGAUGAAGACCUUUAUUGGUCAAAUACAUCCAAUAGUUCCGAAAAUGAUGUUGACAUAUGUAAAUGUCCUAUUCCUACUUCUAAUAUUCAUACUUUGACAAAAGAAGAUAAUCUCAUAUUAGAUCUAAUAGAGAAAAUUUCUGACCCUGAUGAAAAACGAGAAGUAAUUACUCAGUUUAUCAAUCUUGCUAAAACAAAAUCAAAACCUGUUCCAUUAAUCAAACCUCCAGAUGAAUAUAAUUUUUUUGAUAUAAUGAAACGUAUAAGUCAGCAUGAAACCUAUCAAAAAGAACCAACCAUUGCUGAUCUUAAGCAAGAAGUAAAUAUUGUCAAAACAGAAGUUGCUCAAUUAAAAAAUCAGAUACAAAUUCUAGAACUCCAAAAUGAAACCCCAGGAAUAGAUAUUGAUACCGAUUCUAUUGAAUUUGAUCACCUAAUCAGAACAUCUCAUCCACAACAUAGAGAAACAUCAACAAGUAAAUCUGUAAAUGUUUUGAAUAAAGUCAUUACACAAAAAUGGUUUAUCUUAGUAACAAUAGUCAUAAGUGAUGAAUAUGAAUUUCAAUCUUUAGCAUUAGUAGAUUCAGGGGCAGAUCUCAACUGCCUCAAUGAAGGACUAGUUCCUACAAAAUAUUUUGAUAAAACAACCCAAAUCCUGAAUACUGCUUAUCAAAUACAAACUGUCAAAUGCAAAAUCUGCAAUGAAGGCCACUGCUUCCCAACUACUUUCAUAAUGGUCAAAGGACUCAGCCAAGCUGUAAUCCUUAGAGUACCUUUUCUCACUCUUUUAUAUCCAAUAAAAAUUAUUCAAUCAGGAAUUGAAACAAGUGUUCAUGACACUCAUAUUAAAUUCGAUGUUCUUGAUAAACCAAAAAUCAAAGAGAUCAAUACAGUUAAAAAUCAUAUCAAGCAAAAAGAGGAUUUUCUAGGAUCAUUACAACUUGAAAUCAAACAUAAGGUUGUUACGGAAAAACUCCAAACUAAAGAUAUGAUAUAAAAAAUACAACUUAAAAAUAUUAUUGAACAAUAAAUAUGUCAUGAAGUACCAACUGCUUUCUGGAAUAGAAAACGGCAUAUUGUCGGAUUACCAUAUGAACCCGAUUUUAAUGAAACAAAAAUCCCAACGAAAGCUCAUCCUAUUCAAAUGAAUACUGAAUUACUUCAAACAUGUCAUAUGGAGAUCAAAGAUCUCCUUCAAAAGAAACUUAUCCGUCCAAGCCUAUCUCCAUGGAGCUGCUCUGCUUUUUAUGUCAAUAAAAGCGCUGAACAGGAACGAGGAGUCCCACGAUUAGUCAUCAACUAUAAACCUCUCAAUAAGGUCUUAAAAUGGAUAAGAUAUCCUAUUCCCAAUGAAAAAGAUUUAUUGGACCGAUUAGUACAUGCUGUUAUCUUUUCAAAAUUUGAUUUAAAAUCAGGAUUCUGGCAGAUUCAGAUAAAAGAAGAAGAUAAAUAUAAAACUACUUUUAAUGUACCAUUCGGACAAUAUGAAUGGAACGUAAUGCCUUUUGGUAUUAAAAAUGCUCCAUCUGAAUUUCAGAAAAUUAUGAAUGAUGUCUUUAAUCCUUAUUAUAAAUUUAUGAAUGUUUACAUAGAUGAUGUACUGGUCUAUUUUGACUCCUUAUAUCAACAUUUCAAACAUCUUCAUACUUUCAUCAAUACUAUCAAACAUGCUGGUUUAGUUGUUUCUGCUAAAAAACUUAAUUUGUUCCAAACCAAAAUCCGAUUUCUAGGACAUAAUAUUAAUCAAGGUAUAAUUAUCCCCAUUGAUAGAUCAAUUUUAUUUGCUGAUAAAUUCCUUGAUAAAAUUUUAGACAAAACAGAAUUGCAACGAUUUCUAGGGUGUCUUAAUUAUAUUAGUAAUUUCUAUCAAAAUCUUGCCAUAGAAGCCAAACCUUUAUAUGAUAGGUUAAAAAAGAAUCCUCCCCCAUGGAAUGAGAUCCAUACUUUGGCUGUUCAACGACUUAAGCAAAAGGCCAAAGAAUUACCUUGCUUAACACUUCUCAAUCCUACUGUAUUUAAAAUCAUUGAAUGCGAUGCCUCUGAUUUAGGUCUCGGCAGUAUACUAAAACAACGGUGUGAUUCUACUGAGCAAUUAAUUCGCUUUACUUCUAAAGCAUGAAAUCAUACACAAAUGAAUUAUUCUACAAUCAAAAAAGAAUUACUUGCCAUUAUACACUGUGUUACUAAGUUUCAAAGUGAUAUUUUGAAUCAACAUUUCUUGAUUGUAAAGCUGCUAAGGACAUUCUGCAAAAGGAUGUUCAAAAUCUUGUUUCCAAACAAAUAUUUGCCCGUUGGCAAGCGAUAUUAUCUGCUUUUGAUUUUUCUAUUGAACAUCUUCCCGGCUCUACUAAUUUGUUACCUGACUUUCUUACCCGUGAAUUUCUGCAGGGCGGGCCGUAUAUUACCACCACUACCUGAGCCAGAUAGUAUUCCUUACGGUUUACAGUUAUUUUUGCAAAAUACUCAUACAAAUAUGAAUACAUCUCAAGGUAACAAUCAUGGUAAACAAAAAAUGGACUUGGUACCCUGUCCCAUAUCUGGGCCUCUUAUGCCCAGUUCUUCUUUACCAAUAACACCUAUGUCACCCAUGCGGUCGACAAAUGUACCAGAAUAUUUCAUCCAGACUCCUCCUCAAAGUCCAAUACAAACUUAUAGUCCUGUAUUUACUCCAGCUGCUUACCCAAAUAGACAAACUCCCUCCGCUUUUAAGUCAGUUUAUGUUGAAACCGCAUUUCUGGCUGAUAUACCCAUAUGCGACAAGCAUAUAAACAUUGACCCAAAUAAAUUAGCUCCCUUAUAUCUUAUUAAUCACUUGAACCCUACCAAUGGCGCCAAAACUCGUGAAUGGUAUGAGGCUGUACUCAUGGAAACUGGUUCAGUAUCCAUCGUACAUUUCUAUCAACGUAAUACUAAGCUAUAUGCAUAUUCUAAGCUACAAAUUAAAAAAUUAUUAUCUUAUGAAGAUUGGGGUAAUAACCCUAAGCAAUGCAAAAAGUUAGCAAAUCCUGAAUUCCAAUACAAAUAUUAUAAGUAUGCUGAGUAUAUUGAGGCCUGACAUAAGGUAUUUGCAUAUCAAAAUCUAAAUAAUACUCAUUCUUGAUAUGUCCAGUUUAAAUUCUCUAUCUUGGAACGGUUCCCUAGCUGGUUCCAACAUUGGUUCCUGAUAUGGGGAUCACAUACUCAAAUAUUACCAGAUGAAUUUCAAGCCUUUCAAGAAAAAAUUGCCAUUCAUAAUACAUGCACUUCCCAAGAUGAUUAUCACCUAUACUUUAUGGCUAUCUAUCAAAUCCCAUGGAUUCUAAAAUGGGAUUACACUCUUUCUAAAAAUAAUACCAAUAAUUUUGAAUAUGUCCCUCGCCUUUGUAAAACCAUCAAAAUCAAAUGGUGGGAUAUUUACAGUACUAAACCCUCCUCUUUGACACUCAAACGCAUACCUCCUCAAUUCGAUGUACUGCAACCUCAAAAAAAUAAUACUGUCAGUCUUCCCACUUUUUCUGCGUAUCUCAAAAAGAUGAGACGGUCACAUCCAAAUGCUACAUUAGAAGAACUGGAAGAACAACGUUUUCAUAUUUUCGCAGCACCAAAUCCAGGACCAACCACUUCAGAAGAAACUAUACAGUCAGACAACCCGCUUCUCGAAGAUUUCAGUCAAAGACCCGAUGAGUAGCCCGGCCCGGUAGUUUCUGCAGUUGAUAUAACCCCUAAAAAAUUGAUAUGACUCCACUAUAAACAUCGAUAUGACCUAACAAGCAUAAAGCCAUCCACUAUAAAAGUUGAUAUGACCCUCCACAGUGAAGAUGCUCCGUUUCCUCCGAUGUGACUAAUUUCGAGUCACAUCAAGGCCAUACCUUUGCAUACGUGGCCUCUCCUGAUUCCCUGACGCCUGCACAUACGACUGCCAUCUCGCACAAAAGAUUCGCCAUCACCAUCACAAAUGUACGGCCACCUCCUGCGUCCUCCAUGUGUCCGCUUUCACCAUCCAUGUGACUCCACUCAGUUUCCUUCUCCAUUACGACAUCCCUUCUCAGCCACUCAGCUUCCUUCUUCAUUACGGCAUCCUUCUCAGCCACUCAGCGUCCUUCGCCAUUACGACAUCCUUCCUCAGCCACACAGUUUCCUUCGACACGAAGGCAUCCAACUUCGUCAUGUGCCUAUAAAAACCUCCUCCCUUCUCCAAGGAAAGACAGACUUCGCAAGGACUACAAAGAAAGCAUAUGAAGCAAGCUCAACAUAUGGACUCAUAGUUUCAUACUUUCUCAUUUGCCUCUCUCUUCUACUUUGCUUUCUUCUAUUUUCUGUAGACAGUAGGUUUAUUCUCUUCAGUCAUCUGUACAUCAAGUCGGUAACCUCUUACUACUUUAAAUGUGUGAUUGUAAUAUUUCCUCUCUAUCUUCUUACUAUCCCUCCGAGUGGAAACACUUUGCCAGUUUAUGUAUAUGUAAACAGUAAGUUAUGUUGUUUCUUUCUUAAUCUAUGAUGCAGUUGAAAUUUGUAUUUACUUUUAAAUUCGCAAUCUUACUCAUACUUCGUGGAUUGUUCUUGAUAUAUCUUGGAUUUCUGCUUUAAUUCUCAUAAGUGCUUUUCUAUAUUAUGUUACACUUCUCCAACAAUUAAUAGCUUAUAACUCUGUUAUCUUUGCCUAUUUAUGAUAAAAUCCGUAGGAUAAGAUAGGGUAGAUCUUGCGCCGCCGAAAUUGGUAUAUAUAUAUAUAUACACGCACACACACACACAUGUGGGAUAUACUAAACUUCACAACCCUUCAAAUUACAAAGGUUCAAGAUAGAGAGAGUUGUGAAUGGUGGAUUUAUUAAUUUUGUAGUCUAUUUUUUGAAAAAGUUACUUUUCCUGGGUAAAUUUAAAUAAUUUUUUAAUAAAAAAAUAAUCAUUAUUUUGAUAGAUACACUCAUCACAACUCCUUCUAACUUGAACCUUUCUAUUUUUAGGGGUUGUUAACUCUAGACAAACCAUAUAUACAUAUAUAGAGUAAUGGUCCUAUAGGAUCCUGCCCCACCUAUGUGUGUAAGAUCCCAAAGGAUCACCAUUAAAUUUAACAUAGAUCUUUAGAAAAGUCAAGUCUAACAUGUGAUAACUUUUAUAGAGAUCUAUACCAACUUUAAUAAUGAUUAUUUGGGGUCCUAUACAUAUGGGUGAGGAAUGUCCUAUAGGAUCAUUACUCAUUUAUAUAUAUAUAUAUAUAUAUACACACAUUGUACGUUGUAUUGAAUAUGUAAUAUGGAAGAAAGGUCCCCUACAAUAGUUUUUUAAUAAAAUUUUAAGGAAGUUGAUUCAUAUACAAGGGAGAACGGAUUGAAAUAGUGAAACCAUAAUAUGUGGUACAUUCAUGCAAAAAAAUAUUUAUAGAAAACAUAAGAAACAAAAUUAAAUUUACAUGAGAGCUAAUGCUCUAUAGAUCAUAAACCCCAUUGAAAUCUAAUGAAAAUCAACCCAAAUUUGCAUUUUUUUCUUCGAAUUUGGUUGAUAGUGUAAAUUCCAUGAACUUUUUGAUUUCUUGGCUUUGGAAGCAAAAUCAAUGGGGUAUCCUAGUUCAAUCGAACAAAUUCGCACCAAAAUAUUGUGUAGGAUUCAAUUAUCUUUAAAUGCAAUCAAAUUUUAGGAAAGUUGGUUACAAAUCGAGGUUGAAGUCGAUUGGAAGGUGGUUUAUGCAAAUAAAAAAAAAAAAAAAAAACCCUCAUUUUGAUCGCCAAAUCUCACAUUUUCUCUCAAAAUCCACAAAUACUGGUUUUCAAAGCAAUUUUCAAUUAUUUAGGAGCAAUAAUUAUUAUCUGAAAAAAAGAUUACAACGACCGAAAGUGGAUCGAAAGCUUGAAAACCCAUGAAAACUUUGUGCCCGAGUAGUGGAAUUGAUUAGUGGAAUCGGCAAUUAUAUUGUAGUGAAUCGCCGGUUUGUCAGGGUGUUUGGAUGAGGCGAUUUUCGAUUCACAUCCGUCAAUUUCGAUUUGGAUCCACCAAUUCUGAUUCGAAUAUGCGAGUUUUUAAACAAUGGGCCGUACCACGGAGUAAUACCAUAGUUAGCAAGUCGAGGACUAUCAAUAAAUCAGCUCACCAUAAAAUUGAAAGCAAAUCGUUUUUAUUUAAAAAAGUUAGAUGGAAAAAUCGGGUAAAAAUACAGAUCGGCAAAAAAACUUCAUAUAAAGAUAUCGCUAAUAUAUCGGAUUAGGCUCAAAAAAUCAGAGUAAAAAAUUUGGAUACAUUUAUAAUAUUAGAAAUUUUAAAAUUCUAAAAAAUAAAAGUUAUGUCAUCAAUAAUUAAUGGGUGUGGUUUCUCUAAGGUUGCAACCUUAAACAAUCCAAUUAUGACGCACCUCCAAAUUUUAUCAUAACAUGUAAUUUUGGUGUACAAAAUUAUUAGGAUAAUCUCAAAAUCUAUUUUCAUAUCUUACUAUAAAAUUUUAAAAUCUAAAAAUGGUCAAAAUCAAAAUCAAGUAGAUCUAUAAACAUAUAAAAAUAUUGAAAAUGGACGGUUUAGAUAAUGUGUUGCAAGAUGCAUUAUUUAUGAGACUAAAAUCUUUUUUUUUUUCAAAGUCAUAUAUCUUGAUAUCGAGAUGAUCAAUUAGAGGGUCUUUCAACAUUAAAAUAAUCUUUUUUCGAUGGACUUUGAGGUGCAUAUAUAAUUCUACAUUUGAAGGUUGCAACCUUAUAUAAAUUUUUUCCAUAACUAAUUCAUCUAUAAAAAUUUUAUUAGAUGAAUAUAAAUAAGUUAAUUAAUUUAGAUGUUAUGACUCUCUUUCUAUCAUCCAGUAUUAAAGACAUAAUUAACUAGUAUAUACCAAAAAAAAUGUAUCAUAAAAAAUCUACCCGUUAAAUACUUAAAGGAUGUGUUUUGAUAAUGGGAAGUGUCUUCCUGAAACUUGGAGCACCUGUGCAUAUUUUGUGUUUGGUAAAAAACCACCCCUCUCUUGGCACCGUCUCGGUUCGGCGGCUUUCACAGUUCAACGCGAUGCUCUCUCUCUUUCUCUGCGCCGUGAUAUCAAUGCCCUUCUCUUCUUUCUUUCGGAAUCUUUGCUGUAAUUCGUAACAUUCGCUGGAAUAUUUGGAAGUUUGGCCGGAACUUUGAAAUCUCGCUGGAAUUUGUAUUGGACUUCUAGUUAUAAAAGAAAGUAUCCGUGGAAAGAUUUACUCUUUCUUCUAAAUUAUAUCUGGCGUUUCACUGUUAUCGGAGUUUUCCUUUAACUGGAGAUUCUCGGUUGAUUUUAUUGAUUUCCACAGUGGUUACACCAGGUCAGUCUCUGAUUCGUCUGUUUUCCUGAUGUUUUCUGAACAUUAAAUUUUUGUGUUAGGGUCUGAAGGGUUCAUGUUUAUGAUAGUGCAUUUGCGAUUAUUGCAUGAAUUCAUUUUUUUCCAUCCAAUAAUCGCAAAUCCAUUCUCAUAAAAUAGAGACACCGCCCAUGGCUCUGUUAAUUCGAUGGCUUGCCUUUUUUAUGCUAGUUGGAUGUUACUUUUCCCCCAACUCUUUUAGGGUUAUCGUUAUUGUAAUUAUAAACAAUUUUUUGUUCAAAUAUGUGUAUAUAUAUAUAUAUAUAUAUAUAUAUUGUUAUUGUUUUGUUNNNNNNNNNNNNNNNNNNNNNNNNNNNNNNNNNNNNNNNNNNNNNNNNNNNNNNNNNNNNNNNNNNNNNNNNNNNNNNNNNNNNNNNNNNNNNNNNNNNNNNNNNNNNNNNNNNNNNNNNNNNNNNNNNNNNNNNNNNNNNNNNNNNNNNNNNNNNNNNNNNNNNNNNNNNNNNNNNNNNNNNNNNNNNNNNNNNNNNNNNNNNNNNNNNNNNNNNNNNNNNNNNNNNNNNNNNNNNNNNNNNNNNNNNNNNNNNNNNNNNNNNNNNNNNNNNNNNNNNNNNNNNNNNNNNNNNNNNNNNNNNNNNNNNNNNNNNNNNNNNNNNNNNNNNNNNNNNNNNNNNNNNNNNNNNNNNNNNNNNNNNNNNNNNNNNNNNNNNNNNNNNNNNNNNNNNNNNNNNNNNNNNNNNNNNNNNNNNNNNNNNNNNNNNNNNNNNNNNNNNUUAAAUAAUUUUUAGUUUACUAAUAUGUGUAUAUAUAUAUAUAUAUAUAUAUAUAUUGUUAUUGUUUUGUUGGAUAAUUGGAAAGAGUUGUUUAGGGAAUUAACUUGUCAGGGUCAGUUAGGUUUUACUGUCAAUUGAAGUUUUGACAAUUUUGAACCUUGUGUAAUUUCUGGGUUAUUUGACAUUCUUCUGGUUUUCUGUUUGGGUAUUUAGUGUGCCAUGUGCAUUUACUUUUCCUUGAAGUAUUUUGGAGGUCAAGGGGUCUCCUUUAUUGUUCAUGAGUGGCAAAUUUUACUUUUUUGAAUGUUGAUUCAGCAGCUUCAGCUAAGCUUUUAUAAUCCAUGAUCAUGUUUGUUUGAUAGUCACCAUUGGUGGUUUUGGACUAAUCUUCUAUGGAAAUUGCAUGCUAUGUAUGAAUGAUUUUUCAUUGCAAUGAUUUACUAGUAGCCACGAGUUUUUUUUCCUUGCCUUGAGCUGAAGUUUCUGAUUCAUGCACAUGCCAUUUAUUAAACCUGAGAAAUCAUUUGUGCCGGUUUCCUUAUGAUACUGUUGCUUUCUCUAAUGGGUGAUUGAUACCCAAGUAACUGACUGUUGUUGCUUCAUGUAUUUUGCUAUAUAUUUACUUAUUCUUGUCCAUUUCUUCUUGUAUGGUAUGUAUUCUUUGUUCAUAAAUUCUUUCUUCCAGUAAUUCAGUUGGUACUGGCAAUAGAUUCCAAUAUUCUUUUCGGUCCUAUACAACUAAUAUUCAGUGACCAACGGAUAUUGCUUUUCAAAACAUGAUUAAUAAGGUUGAUGACGACUUUUGCUUUUAUAGAACUUAAAUGCAUCAGUUGCAACUUUCCUCCGGUACACUUAAUAUUUAAUAGAGAACAACUGGUGGUUGUGUUCUAAAAGAUCUGCCCUCAUUCGAUUUCCCGAACCACUGUAGUAAUAAAGCAUUUUCUGGAUGACUCCAUAGCCAUGGAAUGGUCGAUGCUUUACGUGGUGCCACUGUUGAGAGUAGUGUAAACAAGCUUGUACACACAACUGUGAAUGGUGUAGCCAGAGUCGAAGCCAUUGACAGGGGCUUUGGUUCCACGUCUGUCAUCUUCUAUUCCUCCAAUGGGUUUAUGGUUUUUUUCUAUGAUUUUCCUUCACCACCACAUGUGUUUGAAUGGACUGAUUUCUUAGUGCUUGCAUUUUCAAUUAUGUAUGUUUAAACUAUUACAAGUUAUUGUUGAACUGUUGUGUUCAUUCAAUUGCAUUUUCAAUUAUGUAUGUUUAAACUAUUACAAAUUAUUGUUGAACAUCAGUGGUGAAUGUAAGUAGUGCUCAAGUUAUUACAGGUGAUUGUUGAAUGGACUGAUUUCUUACUGCUUGCAUUAUGCAUGUGUGUUCGAAUGGGCUGAUUUAUUAGUGCUUGCAUUUUCAAUUAUGUAUGUUUAAACUAUUACAGGUUAUUGUUGAAUGGGCUGGUUUUGUACAUGGUUAUAUAUGGAUGCAUGAAUUGUGAAUGUUGCUUGACAUGCAUCACAAAUGCCUUAAUAGAUAACAUAUAAAUGUUGUGUGCCAUUAUAAUCUUAGAUAGAGAGAGCGAGAGCGCACAAAUGUUUCAAGGGACAAGUGGUUUAUUGUUGAAUGAGAUAUAUUUUUUAGGUUGGGAUAUAGAUGCAUCAGUGGUAAAUGUAAGUAGUGCUCAAGUUAUUAUAGGUGAUUGUUGAAUGGGCUGAUUUCUUAUUGCUUGCAUUGUGCAUGUGUGUUUGAAUGGGCUGAUUUCUUAGUGCUUGCAUUUUCAAUUAUGUAUGUAUAAACUAUUAUAGGUUAUUGUUGAAUGACGUAUAUUUUUAGGUUGGGAUAUGGAUGCAUCAGUAGUGAAUAUAAGUAGUGCUCAAGUUAUUACAAAAAAUAAUAUUGUACUUUACUUUCAAUUGAUAUUGUAUUCCAAAAAAUUAUAUUCUACAAAUUAAUAAAAAAUAAAUAAUAUCUAUAUCUCAAUUUUAACAUUUACAUCUUGCCUAUUACUUAAGUUAAUCCAAUACAGAUACCCAGUUCUUUUUUACUUAAGCUAAUCCAAUACAGAUACCCAGUUAUUUUUUAAUUUCCCAGGAGGGUAUCAAACAUAGAAACCAGGAACUUCUUAACUUCCCAGGAGGUUAUCAAACACAGAAACCCGGAACUUCUUAACUUCUCGGGGAUGUUAUCAAACACAAAAACUAGGAACUUCUUCAGGAACUACUAAUUUAUAAUUCUUCAGUAACUUCCAAUUUCCAGUUCAUGUUCUUACUUCCAGUUAUCAAACAGGCCUUAAAAAAACAUCACACCUACUUAUUACAUACCAAAAACAAAUAUACUAUAUAAAUUUAUUCAGUAAAUACUCUAACUAUGGUAUGGUGACCAUGGUCACUCCAUAACUAUGGUUAAAGUUUUAUAAAUUUAUUUAAUUGAAAAGAGGCAAGUAGAAAUUCGGGUUUCGCAUCUCUGUGUUUACUGUAUAUAGAGAGAAGAAGGAAGAAGGAAGAGAAGAAAAUAGUGCUGGCUAAUAGCCAUUAGGGUUUAUAGAGAGAGAAGAGAGAAGGAAGAAGGAAGUGGUCAUCGGCUUCACAAACCCUAAUGGAAGAGGCACUAACUGAUUUUUAGAGAGAGAAAAGGAAGAUAGGAUGCUGAUUUGAGAUAGUUUGAAGAUGAUUUUUCUAUCUAAUUUGGGAUGUUGUUUGAGAGAAAGCCCUAACUAUACUGAUUUGUGAAGGGGCCCUAACUAAUUUUUAGAGAGAGAAAAGGAAGAGGGCUUUUCAUUUUCUUGGGGAAACAACAAGCAGAGCUGAAGGAUUAGGUUUGGGGAACUAAUCCUAUAUGUACAAUUGCUUGCUCCUGUAAGUUUACAGUUUACAUUAUAUUGUUUAUCUUUGUUAUCACAUAAUCAAAAACAAAUUAUUGAUUACUUGGUCCUGUAGUCACACUCUGUGGUUCUCAUUCAUCAGUAAUGCUUCUCAUUCAUCAGUAAAAGACUAUGUUUUGAGCUCUAAUUUGUGCCAUAAACAGUAUUUUCAUAAAAACAAUUAUCACAAAUAAUCACAGAAAUCUGCAAGUAUAUGAUUUUCUUUACACAAAGAUUUACUUUACAAAAUGAUUUGCUAUAAAAAGUAUUUCAUUUACACAAUGAUUUUCCAUAAUAACAGCUGAAAUUUACAUCUAUUUGUUUAAGUUUUUUUAAAAAAAGGGAAAAAAAAAUUCAUACCUUGAAUAUGCAACUGUGGCUUUGAAGAACACAGUGGGGAUAAAAAUUUAUAUUUUAGGUUUUGUUUUUUGAAAUAAUAAUUUUUUUUCAAAAGCAUGAAAUUAGCAAUGGCUGCAAUACACAAGACAGGGAAAAAAAAUUAUCUUUCACAAAACAAACUGCAGGUAAAAAAGAUACGAUUUUUUUGGCCUGAUUUAAAUCGUAUUAUGAAAAAAGCGCGUUUUAAACGUUUUUAUGAAAACUACAUGAUUUUUUGCUGACCUUUUCAAAUAGUUGCCGUUUAAAACUGUUUCCAUAAUAACGCCGAGGUCGAUUAAAUGGUGAUUUGCUAACUAUGGGUAAUACCGCAUCUACCCGCGGGAGGACAGUCUUUCGACGAAAUUGUACCCGCGGGAGCAUACUGUCUUCUGACGAUGCAUGAAACCCUCAACCAUCGGUCUCUCAAAUUCUGCAAUCCGUGAACCGUCUCUCCCUGCCCACUCACUGUGCUCUCUCUCUCUCUCUCUCUCUCUCAAGGCAGCAACUCUCUCAAAUUCUGCAAUCCGUGAGCCGUCUCACUCACUGUACUCUCUCUCUCUCAAGGCAGCAACGCAUAACUCUAUUACAGGCCUUUACUCUUACUCUCUCUCUAGACACGAUUCUCUCACUCUCUCCGGUUUUCUCUCUCUAGGUAUGUAUUCCACUAUUUCUUGUUCCUUUUAUUGUUCUCAGAUUGGUGUUUAGUAGAAAUACGCAUUUCGUCCAUUCUUAUUACUUUUGUUAUUUUUUUUUUUCCCUGAUUGGUGCUUAGUAGAAAUACGCAUUUCAUCCAUUCUGGUUACUUUUGUUAUUUUUAGAUUUUUGAUCCUUAAUGAAAAAUAAAGGAACUUUGGUUACCAUGUAAUUGUAAUUGUGUUAACGGAGUUUUCUGAGUAUUCCUCAAAACAAAGAAAUUCUUUUAUUAAAUCUGUUUUCUAUUUCAAACAAACAGAAUGUUUUGGUGUUUUGAGGGGUUUUAACUUUCAACCAGUAAUGCGUAAAACUAUGAUAGAGCAUUAAUGGGUUAGGGUUUUUGAGGUAUUUUGUGUCUUUAGUUUGAGUAAAUGAUAGAAAAUUGUGAAAGAUCAAAGCUUUAUUGGUCUAAUUCUGUGACAAAAAUGUCUAAGUUAGUGGCAUUUGAACAUUUACUUUUUCCCAAGUAAAUUCUGAUGGUUCGACAUAUAUUGUAGAGGAGAAAAUCUUUUGCUUUUAGUUUUUGAUGGGUUGAAGGUAGAGAGAGAGAGAGAGAGAGUUUCUUGGUUAAUAAAAUUAAAGGUAUCGUAGUUACUUUGUGCUCUGCUAUGAAAAUUAGGGGUGUUGUCAUCAUUUCAGACUCACAUUUUUCUAUGAAAAUGGUGUUCAUUACAUUUUCCUUUUUUUUUUUGGGUGAAUAGUUCAUUACAUUUUUUGGGAAAACAUUUUGCGUGGGGCUCAACCCUCAAAGGUAUACUUUGGCCAGAGUCUAGCUGUAACAUAGAUUCAGGCCCAGGCCUAGUGAGACAUGGAUUUCUUAAGCCACUGUUUUUGGGAAAUGCGUUUUUUUUUGGGAUAAGUUUAACUGUUUGUAUUGAGAAAAGGAUAAGGAGUACAAGUAAGCAGCAAGGCGACCCACAAGCCGGUCCCUUGGCAAAAAUAUCGUGUAGAAGGGAAGACUGUUUUUGGGAAAUGAGUUUCAGAGCAAAAACUUCCUUUUGGGUAAUAUAAAUAUGAAAAUCCAGCUUUUUCUUUUCAAAUCAGUUUUUCAAAACAGUAACUUGGAUUCUUAAAAGUUAAAACUAACAAUUUAGGUUUUUCAUAGCUUUUAGUUAAGUAUGUUAAGUUGGAGUUUCUCUAUGUUAAGGGCCUACAUCGCAUAAAGGUUUCUUUGAUAGGAUAAAAGCAGAAACUACGGAAAUCACAGUUAUCUAUAUGUCGCUGAAGUUAUUGUAAUACCUGUUGCUUUUGACUUUGCUUUGAAUUUUUGUCUUUUCCAUUCAUUAGAAAGGAAGCCAGAGUUUGGUGCAUUCACUUUGGAGUUCCUCCAUGUUCAGAAUUUAUAUAGCAGAAGGUUUCCCUUUGAUAUGUUAAAAACAUACUGAAAAUCACAUGGCUAUCUAUUCUUGGUUGAAGUCUAUGUUAAUACUGGUUUUUUUUUACAAGGUUACAUAGGUAUGGAACUUGAGACGUAGUGCUAUAAAAACCCAGCUGCUGCCACCUUGACCCAAGCCCGAUUCCUAAGCUAUGUUAAUACUGGUUAAUGACUUAGCUAUGACUUGGCAUUUUUCCCAUACAUAUGAAAGGAAACUAAAGGAGAAGAGUCUGAGUAUUUAUAUUUUAAGUUAAUUUAGUGUCUGUUACUCAUGACUUAGCUACCCAAUUAUAGGGAUGGAAAUCAGAGUAAAAGAGAGUGAGGAUUAACAAUAGAAGUUACUGUGGUAUCUGUUACUGAAUAGGUACUCUUCCCCUUCCUAGGAAAGGAAAGUAGAGGAGAAGAGAGUGAUGUAAUAUCUCUAUCGGCUAGCAUGACGGAGAGCCUUGAG